rnacentral:lncRNA from 1 species
GAUGCUAAAAGACCUUUAGUGCAAUUUUAUUCCUGUGCAGGGGAAGAUUAUUUGAUUUGUAAUUAUAGUAAAAAAUGAUUUUUUAAUCUGCAUUGUGCUACUGAUAAGCACUUGAAGGAUUUGUUCACUCUGAAAUCCAAUCAAAGGAAGAGAAGUCUAAACUUUUGAGUAACUAAGAGGGAUAUGUUUAUUAGUGGAACUACAACCAGUGUAUUAUUGUUUUACAAUAGAACCAAAUGGGCAAGCAUUUGGAGUUUCCUGCACAUAUUUAUUUAGGUACCCAGACAACAUGAUCCUCGGGAAGGAAAUGGCAAACAGGAACUUGUCCUGGCUUGAUCUGCAGAACUUUGAAAGCCAAGUGUUUUGGGUUCCAUUUUGUUGUAUCUUCAUGGCAUACUGCCACUGCUUUAACUUUUGUUCCAUCUGCACCCACCAAGGAAAGUGUAUAUGCUCUAGUAGCUUGUGUUUUGUGGCAGUAAAAUACAGCAUAUGCAUAAUUUUGCUGGUGGCACACUACAGCUUUGUCAUUUGUCAUGUUUUUCACUCCUGCAAUGGUAUAUUUCUGCAGUGGAGUAUCUUUCUCUGAAUUUGUUGAUAUCGCCUGAACGUUCUUCCCCAGUUUGGAGGUGGUGAAAUCUACCAUUGCUUCCAAUGAUGUUGCACAGAACUUCUCCUCUCCCUGGAUGCCUGGCUCCUCGCACUCUUUUAUUGUAUUUUUCAUAACUUCAGCUUCCUGUGAGUUGGGCUUCACUGAGAAUUUGUUCAAGAUUUCAGUCAUUUUGUUUGAUGAGAAAGGAAUUGAUUCAGCAACCUGGCGAGGUAAGAAAGUGGCUCCAUGUGAAGUCUUGAAGAAAUGCAAGUUCAUCUUUGAUCCUCGAGUCAUGUUAUUUUCCAAGAAGAAAAGAGCUACAUUUGGGUUGUCAUGGAGCUGAUCCCUGGUUGCUGCGUAGUUAUACAAGAAUGGUGAUGUCCCUGGCCUUCCUCCCACAUAUACUGGUUUCCCCCUGUGGUGGCCUGAGGAUACGGUUACACCUCCACCAUGCCCGACAUUCACAUUGGUGCCUUCAGGAUUUCUGCCCUGUGUCUCGGAACCUCCUGGAUCCCCCGGUCCAACAUUCACGUUGGUGCCUCCUGGUGUAUUAACACCUACUCCACCAGGCCCGACGUUUACAUUGGUGCCUCCUGGUGUAUUUACAUCUACGCCACCGUGCCCAGCAUUCACGUUGGUGCCUCCUGGAUUUCCACCCUGAGUAUUAACAUCUACUCCACCACCACUUACUCCGACUGAAGUACUUUUAUCAUCCACCGUUUCUGCCAUAACAAUCAGUUAGCAUGAACACACGGAUGAAUAUACUAUUCAUACCACCUUAUAAGUAAUUUAAUGUCUUAUUCUUUCUUUCUUUAGAUAGGAUUAGUUUUCCUUGUGUAAGAAUUGUUAAAAAUCUACUUAAUCCUUUUCAUGUACCGGAUUUGCCAAUUUUUUGCUAAAAAAAAGGUAAUUUAAUGUCUUAUGCUCUGUAGUAGUAUUUAUUCUAGAGUUUGCUGACUCGUUCCCUUUUAACCUUUGUAUCACUGUUUAUUGCCUAAGCCUAAUUUGUGGUUUCUCGAGAACAUUACUGGCAUGUAGAAACAUGAAAUGCAUAGAGACAAAAAAGCAUUUUGUUUUUGAAUAACAACAGUGAAAGAACAGCUUUUAGGUUUGAGUCUGACCAGAUUGUAUAAGAUCCUCGAUAGCUUUCGGCAUAGGACUGUUAGGGAGCACAGAUUUCCAAUAUGUCUCAGCAGGUUGUGCUGCGUGGCUUGACACACAAGCUAGCUGAAACACACAGACGAACAAGUGAACAUUUUAUUGGAAAAGGCGUAAAAGAGAAUACAUUUUAUUGGCAAAAGCGUAAAUAAUUGAUACAAUGUUGUACUCACAGCAACAAAGAUGAAGAGAUGUAGGGGUCGAAACUCCAUUUUGUAAGAGACUGGCCGCCAAGGGAAGUGUAAACAGAAGUGAAAUUUUAUGAUAGAUGUGAAAAAUGAAACCACAACUUUCUUGAAGAUAAAAGGCAACAACUAUAGUGCUAUUUAUAGCCGAAUGUGGGUUCAGGGUAAAAUGUCAGCAGAUAAGCAACAGAUCAUCUCUACUGAUGACUUGUGCUCUAAUCACUUCCAACUGUGGCUUAAACGCAUUAAUGCCAAUUGAGCCAAAUGUAUCAGUGAGUUACAUGUGUGAAGUUCUGCGCGUUUGUGUGUGAGAUACAGAUGCCUGUUUCCUAAUUGCAUACGCAAACGAUAAUCCUGUCUGGUCUGAUCUGAUAAUGGUCAAUCCUUACUUGAUCAAUGCUAUCAGACAAAGGGUUUCAGCUGGAAGUUGAGAGCUCAAGUUUUAAGCCUUGCGCUUAUGGCAAUCUGGCGUCAUCUUUAUCGAUUAGUUUUCUGGCCAUCCCAACUCUCUCAUUGGUUUCUUUUUCUAGCCGUCCUCCCUCUUUUUCCGACCCUCUCUUUCUCUCAAACUCUUUCUUAUUUCUUCUCUCCAACCGCCACCCAAAGCUCUCCUCUUUCCUGGUUUUCUAUCAACCCAGCUGUCAUCUAUUCUUUUCGUUUCUUUCUCUUGCCGUCCCCAAAACCUCUCUCUAUCUCUCAAAACCUAGCUAUCAUUCUAGAUUCAUCCCCCCCUCCAGGUGUCCUAGACACCUGGCCUUUUACAGCUCCAAAUUUCAUCUCCAGGACCUCUUCCAAUCUCAUUUGCAAGUUGCGGCAAAAAACGCAGUUUUCUGCAUUGCCGUGACUCUUUUUUUUUUUUUUGAAAAGUAAGAAAUAAUUUUAACUAAAAUAAAUAAAAAUACUAAAAAAAAUGCCCAAAACAUAUUUUUGUGAACAAAUUCUUUUCUUACAAAUUUUAUGCUAAAAUUCUUAUAAAUAAAAAUAAACAACUAAAAAACAAAAACAAAAUAAAACUAAAAAAUGAAAUAAAAGACAAAAAUAAAUUAAGAUGCUAUAAAAAUACUAGAAAAUGCCCAAAACAAAAAUUAUGAAACUAAUAUAUAUGAUUAUCACUAAAAUAAAAUAAAAAUAAAAAAAAUAAAAAUUAAAUAAAAGUAAAAUAAAAUCGUUCAAAAUUUUGGUGUCUACACCCUCCACUCGCAGCAUCAAUGAUAUUCCUGUAUCUGAAGAUUAGUCCCUCGUAAAAAUAUUGUAUGAGCAACUGCUCACUUAUUUGGUACUGAGAGCACUUGAUGCACAACUUCUUGAAUCGCUCCCAGUAGUCGUAGAGUGACUCCUGGAUGCUGUUUGAUACCACAGAUCUCCUUUUUAGACUUAGUUGACAUGCUCAAUUUGAUAAGUGUGUCUUCCACGAGUUUUCUGGCAGCUGACGGAGCACAUCUCAAGUUCGUUUCAGUUAGAUUUUAGUUGAUGAGUUUUGGAUGAAACAAUUGCUAAAAAAGGCCUCCUCUUUGUUCAGUUAACUUUAUUUCCUCUGUAAUCUCAGGACUCAUGAAGCUGUUUCAGAGAACACAAGUCUGCUACUCACACAUGAUCCAUUUUAUCAUCUAUUAAUGGUUGUUGGGCUGAUAAUAGUGCAGUUUAAGGAAGGGAAUUUGCGUUUUUCAUCCUGCAGACGGUCAAGAGUUGGAGAUGCUAUUCUUUUGAAGGAGCGGUUACUGAUGCAUAAUUCUCAUGACUGCAUGAUCCAAUUGAGGAAAAGCAUCUCUACAUUCUAAGGUUAGUCCGGAUUGAUCUAAACUAAAAUAUUUUAAGGUUAGUCCUGAUUGAACUAAAGCAUGCUAAAAUGAUUGAACAGACCAUUUAAUGUUGUAUUAAGAAACAUGUCUUUUUGUCUUGGCCUUGAGUGAAUGGUGUAUAGGCAUGUUCUAUCUGAAUUUUAAUUGUGGGAAGGUUCUCUUUCCCUUGCUGAUUGAAGCCAGCCCAAUGUUAAUUAACUUGAGCUGGACAAGUGCUAUCAAGAGUUUAUUGUUGUUCUUUUUAGUAUGAUAACAAGGCUCCGUUAGAGUUCUAUUCAAAAUUUGUUGUCGUGCUAAAGCAUUGGCUGGAGGGUUCUUAACUUUAUUGCCAAAUUAUUGAAAGCCAUUUGUUAAAGCUUUUAAGGAAUUAAGUGGUUUUUCUGUUGAAGAAUAUUGUUGCAUCUCAUAGAUGACUAAAAUGGAAGAUUCAGAAGAAAAUUCCAAGGAUGCUGUGGUGGCAGUAUGAAUGGAUAUUGCAUGGAAUGUCUUGCACAAAGUAAAGAUCUCGUAUAUGCAUUGUCAGAGCAAUAUCCCAACCACAAUCUCUAGCACAAUUGAACUUAAGAUGUUUAAGAUGAGAUGGAGUGGGUAUGCUGGAUUAGUUUCAUCGGUUGUUUCUUUGAGAUUCACAGGUAACAUUUGUCAAACUGAAGAAUAUUUUAGUUAUUACAUUGACAUGGCCUGAAGAUGAAGGCUCACAGUACAAUACUUCCUGCAUAUCAUGCUUAUUCAUCUAGGAUCAUCUUGGAGGAUCAGGUGGCCACUAUUUAAUUUUUCAUUUGUUGCUGUUUUUUGCACUCUCGUGGUUUCAAAAUGCAUUCUAAAAACACUUCUCACAUCGCAAGGACUUCUUUUAUUUAUUUUCUCUGUUCCAUCACCUCAUUUUUUUUCCUUCUUUCUGUAGUUCUUGAUUCUGUUCGUUAGAAAUCUAUUUUCAGUUGCCCUAGGUUGCUUUUGGGUUGGGCAUUUGUAUUUCAGGGAAAGAUGUGAGGAGUGGUUUUGAAAUCUUUGUUCUUGUUGUCUUGUCUUUAAAGAAAGACGCCUUACAGUGGUUUGUUAUUGGCUGACCCACCAUACCAGCUCCAUAAGUACUCGAAUGAAAUUACUUCAGAGGAGGACAUGAGAGCCGUACCUUACAUAAAGAAACUCACUCACUAUCUGACAUAUAUUCUAAGUAUAGAAUCUAAUACUCAGAUGUCUUUUAGUAUAGCUGGUCAGACUACAUCCUGAGUACAGAUAAUAGUUGUAAUUGAUUUCUUUCUUAGUAGACAUUUGAAUAAGAAAAUUUCUUAAUGAAAGUUAUCCACUCCAAGUUACUAAAGACUUGAAAGUAACUUGUCAAUGGCCAAUUUAUGAUGGAUAUUUGACCACCUUACUGGAACUGCUGAAGUCUUGAUGGUUUAUGAGGGAUGCGAAAUCCACAAUAAGGAGGCCAUUCAGACACUAGCAGUGGAUUUGUAGUUGUCUGAAACAUGCUACUCUGAAUCUUCUAUCUGAGGAAAACCAUCUAUGUUUGUUGAAGUGAUAUUAAACAGUCUUAUACUAAAUCCGUCAAUUAUUUUUGUUUACAGUUACGUGGUAGGCAUUUAACUUCAUCCUCUACUCUGUUGCCAUCUCUAAUCUAUACUGAGAAUUGGAUUUUGUCAAUUAUUUUGCUCAUAACUGAUGCUAAAAGACCUUUAGUGCAAUUUUAUUCCUGUGCAGGGGAAGAUUAUUUGAUUUGUAAUUAUAGUAAAAAAUGAUUUUUUAAUCUGCAUUGUGCUACUGAUAAGCACUUGAAGGAUUUGUUCACUCUGAAAUCCAAUCAAAGGAAGAGAAGUCUAAACUUUUGAGUAACUAAGAGGGAUAUGUUUAUUAGUGGAACUACAACCAGUGUAUUAUUGUUUUACAAUAGAACCAAAUGGGCAAGCAUUUGGAGUUUCCUGCACAUAUUUAUUUAGGUACCCAGACAACAUGAUCCUCGGGAAGGAAAUGGCAAACAGGAACUUGUCCUGGCUUGAUCUGCAGAACUUUGAAAGCCAAGUGUUUUGGGUUCCAUUUUGUUGUAUCUUCAUGGCAUACUGCCACUGCUUUAACUUUUGUUCCAUCUGCACCCACCAAGGAAAGUGUAUAUGCUCUAGUAGCUUGUGUUUUGUGGCAGUAAAAUACAGCAUAUGCAUAAUUUUGCUGGUGGCACACUACAGCUUUGUCAUUUGUCAUGUUUUUCACUCCUGCAAUGGUAUAUUUCUGCAGUGGAGUAUCUUUCUCUGAAUUUGUUGAUAUCGCCUGAACGUUCUUCCCCAGUUUGGAGGUGGUGAAAUCUACCAUUGCUUCCAAUGAUGUUGCACAGAACUUCUCCUCUCCCUGGAUGCCUGGCUCCUCGCACUCUUUUAUUGUAUUUUUCAUAACUUCAGCUUCCUGUGAGUUGGGCUUCACUGAGAAUUUGUUCAAGAUUUCAGUCAUUUUGUUUGAUGAGAAAGGAAUUGAUUCAGCAACCUGGCGAGGUAAGAAAGUGGCUCCAUGUGAAGUCUUGAAGAAAUGCAAGUUCAUCUUUGAUCCUCGAGUCAUGUUAUUUUCCAAGAAGAAAAGAGCUACAUUUGGGUUGUCAUGGAGCUGAUCCCUGGUUGCUGCGUAGUUAUACAAGAAUGGUGAUGUCCCUGGCCUUCCUCCCACAUAUACUGGUUUCCCCCUGUGGUGGCCUGAGGAUACGGUUACACCUCCACCAUGCCCGACAUUCACAUUGGUGCCUUCAGGAUUUCUGCCCUGUGUCUCGGAACCUCCUGGAUCCCCCGGUCCAACAUUCACGUUGGUGCCUCCUGGUGUAUUAACACCUACUCCACCAGGCCCGACGUUUACAUUGGUGCCUCCUGGUGUAUUUACAUCUACGCCACCGUGCCCAGCAUUCACGUUGGUGCCUCCUGGAUUUCCACCCUGAGUAUUAACAUCUACUCCACCACCACUUACUCCGACUGAAGUACUUUUAUCAUCCACCGUUUCUGCCAUAACAAUCAGUUAGCAUGAACACACGGAUGAAUAUACUAUUCAUACCACCUUAUAAGUAAUUUAAUGUCUUAUUCUUUCUUUCUUUAGAUAGGAUUAGUUUUCCUUGUGUAAGAAUUGUUAAAAAUCUACUUAAUCCUUUUCAUGUACCGGAUUUGCCAAUUUUUUGCUAAAAAAAAGGUAAUUUAAUGUCUUAUGCUCUGUAGUAGUAUUUAUUCUAGAGUUUGCUGACUCGUUCCCUUUUAACCUUUGUAUCACUGUUUAUUGCCUAAGCCUAAUUUGUGGUUUCUCGAGAACAUUACUGGCAUGUAGAAACAUGAAAUGCAUAGAGACAAAAAAGCAUUUUGUUUUUGAAUAACAACAGUGAAAGAACAGCUUUUAGGUUUGAGUCUGACCAGAUUGUAUAAGAUCCUCGAUAGCUUUCGGCAUAGGACUGUUAGGGAGCACAGAUUUCCAAUAUGUCUCAGCAGGUUGUGCUGCGUGGCUUGACACACAAGCUAGCUGAAACACACAGACGAACAAGUGAACAUUUUAUUGGAAAAGGCGUAAAAGAGAAUACAUUUUAUUGGCAAAAGCGUAAAUAAUUGAUACAAUGUUGUACUCACAGCAACAAAGAUGAAGAGAUGUAGGGGUCGAAACUCCAUUUUGUAAGAGACUGGCCGCCAAGGGAAGUGUAAACAGAAGUGAAAUUUUAUGAUAGAUGUGAAAAAUGAAACCACAACUUUCUUGAAGAUAAAAGGCAACAACUAUAGUGCUAUUUAUAGCCGAAUGUGGGUUCAGGGUAAAAUGUCAGCAGAUAAGCAACAGAUCAUCUCUACUGAUGACUUGUGCUCUAAUCACUUCCAACUGUGGCUUAAACGCAUUAAUGCCAAUUGAGCCAAAUGUAUCAGUGAGUUACAUGUGUGAAGUUCUGCGCGUUUGUGUGUGAGAUACAGAUGCCUGUUUCCUAAUUGCAUACGCAAACGAUAAUCCUGUCUGGUCUGAUCUGAUAAUGGUCAAUCCUUACUUGAUCAAUGCUAUCAGACAAAGGGUUUCAGCUGGAAGUUGAGAGCUCAAGUUUUAAGCCUUGCGCUUAUGGCAAUCUGGCGUCAUCUUUAUCGAUUAGUUAGUAGUUUUUUUUUCAAGUUUUUGACGUAUGGCUUCAAUCCUGCUCUUAAUGUGGCUGACAAACUUGAAGUAUAUCCAAAGUGAUUUGCUAGUUUUACUAAGCUUAGCUACAGGAUUUGGAUGAUCAUCUUUCAGUCACAGAAGAAUGUCAAAAAAAUCACAUAAACGUAUUAUGCAUACCUAUUAACUACUAUUUUUAUACACAGAAAGCCAUUAACUAUUUUCAUACUUUUCUUGCUUGCAAGUUUGAAAGGAAACUGUUUGGCGUUGUGAAAUUAUGGUGCAUAUCCAAUCCCGGUUUUCUUGUUAUGGUAUAACUUUUUUAUUUUAGCAUAAAUUCAAGAUAGAUCCAAUUAUAUAACCGUAUUUGUCAUGAACAUUUACGUUUUCGCUUUUUAUUACUCAUCGUUUUAGUAGAUAAUAAGUAAGGAAUGAAUCCGGUAUUAUUUUUUCUAACACCAAAUAGAAAAUUGUUCUUUUAAAACCGAACAUUUUACUUUCCCCAACUUCGGACAACACAUUUUGUGAGCUGUUUAAUCAAAAAAAUUGUUUCUCUCGAGUAGACAAAAAAAAAAAAAAAGAAAGAAAAAACACAAAGUCCUUUAAUGCAGUAUAUGUUCUGAUUUUUUUGACACAUUUUGCCGACUUUCAUUAUUGUAAUAACAUGCUGCAAUAAAUGUGUCACUCAAAUUCAAACAGUUUGUUGGUAGCUGGGGUGGUUGUUAUCUCUUAUACCUUCAAACCUCCUGCCUGUAUUCAAUACUGCCUAGUACUUUCUUAAGCACUGCAAUUUGUUCUUUUACUAUUACUAUUAAAAUUUCAGUAAUGCAGAAACUCUAGAAUGUAUUUGUUACACUUAUCCGUACAUGUAAUGAACACAUUCUACACCCCUUAGAUUUUUUGAAGGUAAAAUCUUGUUUAUAAUUCAAUUUUUUGUAAUAAUAAAAUGACAUCUUAGAAAAAAAAAAUAAUAGAACGACAUUUUUUUUAUCUUUGUCCUUUGAUUUUGAAAUAUUCUGUGGAUAGUGGAGAUUUUUUGUCUUAUUUAACUAAUUUUUAUCUUUCGAUUAGCUUUGACCAUUAGUGUAAGUGGCAAAUUAAGUUGUUUUGGGACCAAAUGUUAAAAGGGAUUUACGCUCAUUUACCAUUGACUAAAUACUUCCUCAAACUAAACUUUUCAUCUUCUUGCAUUAGAAGGCAAUGAAAUUUGAGUGGAAAAAUUCCUUCCCCUUGUAUUUUCUUAACCGAGAUCAAGUUGAGAUAGGCAAAUUAACCAUAGAUUGUUAAGAAAAUUUUUUUUUUAUUCUGUACGUAGUCCAUAUAUUAAAAACUAGAAGAAACUUCUGCAAAAGGACUCCACGUAACUAAAAUUACUAAAGAGACUAAUAUGCGAUAAUAUGAUAGGUGUCUGGUUCACAUCUGGUGUCUACUCUGGAAACCAUAUUUCAUACAGAUAAUUUUAAGGACAAAGCUGCAGAAGUACACAAGUAUUUCAGGUUUUAGCACUCAUCUUAUCUAUAUGAUCAGAACUUCGAACCCCAAGCUGAAGCUACCAUGGAACGGAACAUAAAUUAAAGACAACUCGAAAUGGAUAAGACUAAAGUAAAGGAGGGAUCUCAAGGAUUUUCUUCACAAAUUCAGUUCUUGGGAACCCAAACAACAUGGUCCUCAGGAAGGAAAUGGCAUAUUGGAACGGUUCCUGGCUUCACCUUUAGCACCUGGAAAGCCAAAUGCUUUGGGUUCCAUUUUGCUGUAUCUUCGUGGCAAACAGCCACAGCUUUAGCUUUCUUUCCAUCCGCUCCAACCAAAGUAACCUCAUAUGCUUCGGUGGCCUGCGUGGAAUGGCAGUAAAAAACUGCGUAGGCAUAGUUUUGCUUGUGGCAAACCACAGCCUUAUUAUUGUUUAACUUCUUGACACCCACAAUACCAUAUUUCUGGGCUUUGGUGUCCUCUUCUGCUUCUGUGGAAACCGCCUGAACAUUAUUUCCUAACUUGGACGUGCUGAAAUCGACCAUGGACUCGAGGGAAGUUGCACAGUAUUUGUCCUCCCCUUUGAUUCCGGGCUCCUCGCACUCCUUUAUCGUAUUCUUAAUAGUCUCAGCUUCGACAGAUUCCGGCUUCACUGAGAAUUUGUCGAAAAUUUCGGGUAUGUAUUUGGAUGAGAAAGGUACGGAAUCAGCAACCUUGCGAGGCAAGAAAGUUGCGGGAUUUGAUGAUUUGACGAACUGCAAAUUCAUGCUUGUCCCGCGGUGCAGAUCCUUUUUCAAGAAGAAAAGGGCUACAUUUGGAUUAUCAUGGAGUUGAUCCUCGGUGGCUGCAUACACGUAGAUGAAUGGGUUGCGACCUGGUGUUACUCCAACAUAUACUGGAUGACCCUUGUGGCCGGUGUGGACGGUAACGCCUCCCUUUCCGACGCCGACGUUGGUUUGGGGCUUUCCGGCGGUUACUCCGACGCCUCUGUGACCAACACCAACAUUGGUGCCGCUGCCAGCGGGCUUUCCUUUCCCAGUAUUGACGUUUACUCCUCCCUUUCCUACUGCAACUGAAGCGCUCUUGUCUUCCAACCAUUCUGGGAAAAUAUCACUUAAUCUUCAUACAUAGCAAGGUCAUUGAAACUAAAACCUCAUUUUAUAAUUCCAUAUACCAAUUCUUUUGCAUAGAAAGGCAUAAUAUUCUCAGUUAUAAUAGAUGGAUUGAGGCUAGUGAGGAUUAAUCAAAAAGUUUUAGAAUAGAGGGUACAAAGGAGAAGAUAUAGCUAAUUAGUAAUCGGAAGGUUGUAAUCGGAAGUAUCUUUUAGUGAUCUUUUAAGUCACAGUACAAAGUAGAAUGGUGCAAUUGAUACACUUACUAUAUUUGCGAAAGAAGAUUGAUUUCACUUUCUAGCUUUAAAUUCUCUACUAGAAAAUUUUUUGUUGGAAUUCAGUUUCCAUCUUUCACUCACAAUUUUUCCACAUAGUAAACUGGUGACAAAACAUCAUUUUGUUGACAAGAGCAAUUGCAACUCUGAGCAGCAUGUGUACUUAUUCAAAUAUUAAAAAAAAAAAAAAGAAGGAAGAGGAAUAGUAACAGAAGAAAUUCCUUGUAUCUAACAUUAUUUAAAACUAGAAAAUGCACAGCUAACCACUCAAGCACUUAAUAUAGGGGUCACCAUCAACUAUUUCUGGUUAAUGUUUUAUUUUAUUUUUUAUGUAUAAGUCACCAUCUACUAUUUAAUUCAGAGAGGACACCAUCAGCUAUUAUUUGAAGUGGUUGCUGGCUACUAAAUUACACAAUUGAUGAGCAGUACCUGGAGAAUUUCUGUAUAUGAAAAUUCACUUUCAGAGGUAAAACCACUCUAUUGCACUUAUGUUGGUGAUUAAUCUUGGAAAGAAAUUAGAAAGAAAGAAACUAAAAUGGCAGAGAGAGAGAGAGAGAGAGAGAGAGAGAAUCCGUUUUCAUCUUUGUCAAAGAUGACAAAUUCAUUUCUAGUUUUGUGAAAAGCAUUUGUAGUGAAGCUCCAAAAGUUCUAAAAUUGUAUAUCUAAGCGUUUAAGCUUUUGAACUUAGUGAGUGCCAUUUAAAUUAUUGCCAUGCUUCGACUAUAAAUAUACUAUUCAAAUUGUAUCAAGUCAAAAUGAUGUUUUUGGAGUAUAAAAAUCGUUGGCAUACUACCACCCACUAAUCAUAAUGCAUAUAUAUCCUUCAUACAAGCACAAGAAACGAAAAUUGACCCAAGGAAGACGAACCACUGUGUAGAAUGUCCCUUACUGCCUUUGGCAUAGGAGUGUUUGGCAGCUUGGAUUUCCAAUAAAUAUCAAGAUCUGCAUGGCUUGCUACAACUGCCAGCUGACAUAAAUUAUAGUACAAAGAAAAAUGAUCAGAAAAGUAACAGGGAUUCCCAGAGAAGUUAAUUAGCAAACAUUCAAUAUUGUUCAUGGAAAAAGAGAAGUUUCUACUCACGGAAAGAAAUGUACAAAUGUGGAGGAGCUUGAGCAAUUCCAUGACAGUUUGGACAAAAACAAAACACAGGGCAGAGUGGUUGGAACUGAGACGGACUUUUAAGUGGUACUGAAGGGCAAGAUGUACAACACAGAGUAAAUUGGCAUCAUUAUUUAUAAGCGAACAUUAUGAAAAAUUAGGUGCUUGAGAAAAGCAACGUAUCACCUAAAUUGAUGACUAGUUUAAUUGCUUCAACUGUCUUAGGCUUUUGGCCAUUCAAUGCUAUGAAGCCACAUGUGAAUGUGGGGUACAAAUUAAACACGGAUGGACGAUAUUCGUACAAAUUUGCCAGAAAGUUGUCAGUCAUAUAAUCUAGUUCCGUUCUCAAGGGUUAGAGCCUUAAAGGGGGACAAGAAAUGACUAUAUGGCAUGUCUAGCGUCUUCCCCCUGCUCAUCACUGAACCAAGGGAUGAUAGAAUGGGACGGCCCUUAUUGUGUUGGACUUUUGAAUCGUCCAGCUAAUAACAAUCAACCACCAAAUUUAAUAAGGCUAAUACUUAACCCUACUAAUUUGAACUCUGCAUGCAUGCUGCGCCACGUAAAUUUUUGUACCAUACGUAUCUUCUGAUUGGAAAUUGGUAUGUUAGGGACUUUGGCUAGAAGCCCGGAAGCCUGGUCCAUGCAUAUAUCGAUUAGUCCAUUUCAUGGGACUCAUUUUGAUAUCUAUGGCACAAUAGACGUCUCAAAGUUUUCAGACGCAUUGGCUACCUGGUUUUUAUUGUCAGUUUUUGGAAAUGUUCUCUUAUUAUGAAUUUGAAAUACAUCUUUAUUUUUCCAACAAUCUUUUUACAUCAAAUACUUCUCAUCACAAACGUAGUACAGAUAAUAUUGCUUUUUAGGAACACUACUAAGAAAUACAACCCAAGUGCAAAGGAUGCAGGACUUUUCUUGUUCUGGAAAACUCCUACUACUUGGCAUAAUUUCAGUUUACUACCUAGAACCUGUUGUUGCAUCUUUGUCUUUCAUUUGGACAUACUAUCUUUUAAUAUUUCCAAAUAUCAUCCUUUUUGCUCAAUUCUCAAGAACAAUAUUUGCACACGAUGCUCUCGACUGAUAGAUACUUCCAUCAUCAUUGAUUGAAGAUCGCAUGGUGGAGUUAUGCUAAUUCAGUUGGCAUUGAAUCAGCAAAGAUAUAUAUACAUUUUUUAGGGGUACAAAUUAAGAGAUAACCAUACAAUUACGACAAACUGUCCCACAAACUUGGGGGAGGUUCCCAAUCACCACUGACCCUAUUGGUCAAGUGGUAAGACCACGAGCCAUAUUGGCCAGUUGCUGAGAACUCAGAAGUUGGAACCAAGCCGUACCAAAAAAAAAAAAAAAGAAGAAAAGAAGUUGGAACCAAUGGGGCAUGGGGAAGUGCAUUCGAGCCUUUAAAGCCACUUCCUGGCCAACUCGCCACCAAUAUUCAAUAAACAUGUGAAAACUCAUUUUCGCAGUUACUUUAAGGAUGGCAAACUAAUAAUAAUCUGACUUAGUUUGUUGAUAAAUACUAAGUAGUAGUAUAAAGACAAAAACAAUUAGUGUAAAGACAGUAGGUCCAAAACAUACGUAAAUUCGAUUAGACCAAGUUUAACCGUCCAGAUUAAAUUAUGUUUUCCACCAAUAUGAUUUAGCAUGUAUUUUACCAUCAUCAUGUAUCUAUAGUCAUGAAAUUACUUCAACACAUUUGGUGGUGCUAAUGUAUAUUUAGGAAAUGACUGUUAAUGAAAUUCGUAAUUCGGGACUAGCCAUUUGUUGGAAUAACACAUCGUGGUGACAUAUAUGACAACUUACUCAUUGCAGUAUUAAUUAAAUCCAGUACUCUUUCAUGAGUUUUCAAGUACCCUACCACUUAUUUCUUGGUAAUGAGAAACAUCGAAAAAUGUCUUUUGAGUAGGACUUGCAGCUAUCCAUCGUAUUCAAGAAGUUAAUUCUAGUAGGCUGCUAAGUGGAAAGAACAAGUGCUCUGUAUAAAGUAUAAACAGCAUAUCAGUAUGUGAGGAAUAAUUUAACCAAUCAUAUUUUUUGGGCUCCCUGACUAGUGAGUUGGAGCAACAAACAAAAUAAGUUGUACUUCCUCCUUCUCACUUUGAUGGUCUUGAUUUUUAUUUUUCACACAGUUUAAGAAAAAUUAGUUAAAUUUGUUGGAAAAGUAAAUCUAACCUUCUGUUUUUCUAAAAUAUCCUUAUGUUAAUAAUAUUAGGAAUAUGACUAAUCAUUAAAUCUUUACAUUAAUUACAACAACAAUACUGAUUAAAAGUUUACCAUUCAAGACAUGAAAUCAAAACAAUUAUUGAAUAUAGUGGACUACACUCACUGAUGACAAAGUACAUUAGACAAGGAUAUUUUUAAAAAAGUUAACAAUUAACUAUUCUCUUUAAUCAAAAAAUGAAUUAUAAUUUGAGACAGAUGAAAAAGGAGAAUAAGACUGUCAAAGUGGGACAAAAGGAGUAAUAACUAAGAGUUAAUUUUGAAUGAUCAAUCAUCUUUCAAUAAUUAAUGUGCAGCUGCCGAUUGGGCCAAAGUAGUCAAUUCAUAAUUCCGGAUUUUUAAGAAUCACAAGUCUAUUUUAUCACCAAAAAAAGAGACAAAUAGCAGUACAAGCCUCAAGGGAGUCUUAUAGUGUGUUUGAUAAAACUGAAAUAUAAAAACUAAAGUUUGAAAUCUGAAAUCUGAAUACAUUAAAUUAUUCAAUUGUUAAGUAUUAAGAUUGCGUUUGAUAAAACUGAAUCUGAAUUUUGAAGUCUGAAUUCUGAAAUUUGAAUACUGAAACAAUUAAUUUGCUGAAUUUUAAACACUGAAAAGAAAUAUAUGAAUGUCUGAAUUUUAAUACUAAACCUAUUUAUACUGUUUGAUAAAUUUUUAUAACUGAAUGUUUAAUAAGUUUAAUUUGACAAUUUUGCCCUUAUAUCUUUUCAUUCAAAAAAGAAUAGAACUUAUGAUUUAAUUAACUUAAAAUUGUUCGGUAUGAAAAUGACAAUAUUUAUUUUUAAAUCAAAUUAAUAUAAAAGAUGAAAUAUAUUAUAUGAGGAGUACGGAGAAGAUGUGAAAGUCAUUAAAAAAGGGAGAAAAGAGAAACUGAAAACCGUUAGAUAGAGAAAUUAGAUAAGAAUUUUAAACAUAAUUAACAAACAAGGGUAGAUUUGGUAGAUAAGAUAAGAUAGUUGAAAUAAUUCUAUUGAUUCUUAUCAGAAUUAAGCAUUCAGUUAGGAUUCUUGUGUUGAAAAAAAUACACACAAGUUUAGCAGAUAGAUUUUCAGUUAUCAAACACUCAAAACAUCUGAAUGUCUGAAAAGGUUUAGUUUUAGCACUUUUUUAUGUUAUCAAACUGAUCUUAAAUCUAAUAUAUUUAAGUGCAUAUCAUAUUCAGUGAUAAAGUGAAUAAUUUAUUACUUAAUUUUGGAAGCAAAUUUUACCUAGAAAAUUCAGAGCCACUUAAUUAAUUCAGAUGUUCAAAUUUUUGUUGUCAACCGAUCUGAAUAUGUUAAGAUCUGAAUUCAUUAAGUUUAAGUGCUGAAUUGAGUUAUCAAACAGAUUAAUAUUCGGAUAAUGUCGUGUAAUUUAGGUACAACUAACAUGUUAUUUCGAACAAUACUAAGUUUUGUCAUUUCACUAUCACAAAAUUGUACAAGUAAUCUGUGUGGAUAAUUGUUACUAAAAUUUUAUGCUGAUAAUCAGUCCUACCCAAGCUCAGAUUUCAACACAGGAAAGAUGUUUGGACCUACUCUUUGUCGGACUAGGGCCAAUACGGUUGUGAUUUACACAAUUUGGUUCAGUUGUUAUAUAUAUUUAGAUUUGUAAUGUAUAAGCUAAAUAUUUUAUUUAUGUACAUCACUUUUUUCACAAAUAUAACAAUGUAACGUAGUUGUACAUCAAAUAAUGUUAAAACUACAACAACCGGACCAAAUUGUAUGUAAUCCCAACCGGCUCCUUUUUCACUCUCGUCACACUUGUAAACUAUUGAAUAAGAUUUUGCUGCAUGCCUCUUUGGUUUCCACAGCCUUUUUUUUUUAUAAAUUUAUUAUUUAUUUAUUUUUCUGUGCACGAGUUUCUACAACCCUUUUGAAGUUUGGAUUGACAUUUGAGACAAGCAUACUAGGAUAUCUGGUAACAUCACUUAAAGUUAGGAAUUUUAAUGCACAGGAAAUUGGGUUAGCGUAUACGGAAUACGAUGCGGAGUUCUCGAGCACGAGAUCAAUGUUAUAACUCACCCGCUUGGGUGAAUAAACCUAUGCUACAGAGCUAUGGAUUCAUUUUAUUUUUUUUGGUUGCCUGCCACGGUAUCCAGGGCUUUGCCCUGACUAAUCCGUUGGUCGACCCGGGUCGCACACCUGGCUGUGGUGGGUGAGUCUCCCAACAAGGGUAGCUGCAUACGCCAGGUUUCGAACCCGAGACCUUGCUUAAGCGGAACCAAGCUGCUUACCACUUGGCCCAACCCCAGUUGGUGGAUUCAUUUUAUUAAUUCUAGCAUUGUACACAAUGCACCAAAGCUUUCUUUCUAGUCCUAUUUUGAUCCUUUAUUUAAUCGAUCGUGUUGAGAAAAUUAAUAAGUUUAUACAAGUGAAGGCCAAUAUACAGUUUCUCAGCAAGUCAAGAUUUUUUUUCCCCCAAACUCUAAUUUUUAGACAUAUUGUAGCACUAGUUUGGUUUUAUUUAUAGACUUUAUAGAAAUGUGAAAGGUAACCCAGAAGACAUGUAUCGCCUUGGUCAAUUUUAUUAGUUUAAUUUUGUAAAAUAUUAUAUUAUUUCUACAAUGACGAACAUUUUGCUUAACCAACAAAAGGAUAAGGCAUGUCCAAUAGAGGAACAGAGCACGAUAUUGAUUUAGGUGUUAUUAACAGUGAAUGGCAAUUAUUCACAAGUGAUUUACUAACCGAUAAAUAAACCUGGUUAACUUUUUAUUCAUAGUAGUAAUGUUUUGAACUGUUUAAUGAAUUAUAGAUAACAUGAUUUAAAAGUUGAUUAUAAGAAAACAGACUACAAUGUUCAUGCUCGAGUACUAAUGAUGUCAUAAUAGUUGUUGGUUAAUACACUUUCUUUUAUAUCUUAUUGUAUGUCCAACUCAUUUUGUUACCAUCGACUUAUAUACUUAUAAAUGAUGUAUAUAUAUAGAAACACAGAUAGAAAAUGAUUUAAAAAAUAAAUUUUUAAAAUUUGACAGUGACGAGGUGUACCACAUAUUAGAUAAAAAUUUAAACAUGUCUACUGCACGCAACAAAGUUUGUAGCAAUAGACAAAAAACAAAGUUAAAAAGUUUAAUGUGUCCAAAGAUUAGAAUUUAGGUUUGCAAUAUGCAAAAGGGUAAUAAUUAGGGGUACAAAGUGAGAUUUAACUUGCUCACUAAUAGAUGUAUGUGACAGGUUGUUGAAUCCUGUGCAAUAAUAAAACUUGCUCAAACUAAAAGUAAUUUCUGUAGAUAGCGGUGAGCAGGGUCGAAUCCACAGGGACCGGAAGUAAUUGUUUCUUUUCAAGUUCACAGUGACAAGGGGUAUUUUUAUAUCAGGGGUGACAAUUUAAGCAAUUCAACUAAAAGUAAAAUAAUAAGAAUAAAAUAGCCAACUAGAAAUUAAAUAACAAUUUACUAAAAUCAAAAGAUCUAGCCAAAGAAUAACUUCAGCAAUGGUUCACCUAAUUGAUCAUCGAAACAAAGGCAAUUCCAAUUAUUUACUAAUAAAUAGGUUAUAACUGCCAAACAAGCGAUGCCAGUCAACCCCUCCUUACUGUGUCGGUGAUUAAGGUACGCCCGUUAAUCACUGUUCUAAUUGAGAAAUAAUCUUAGGUACGCCCAUAAGAUUUAAUUCCCCAAUUGCCUUACAUAUUAGAGGAGCCCUAUUCUAACCAAAUAACACACUACCAGGGUUAUUUUAGGUUAGCCCGGGUAUUCCCCUGACACAAACCCAAUCAUGCCAGUUGUCACUAUUUUGAGACAAUUAAACAAUUACGGAUUCAACGUCCCAAUUGACAAUAGAUUAUCAAAUUAACUAAUUAUCCGGAUCCAAGACAAUCAAUUAAUUAAACAAUCAUAAGUACUGCAACCAAGGAAUAUGCGAAUAUCAAUAAAUAGAGAAAAAGAUAAAAUUAAAUCGAUCUCAUAAUUUUAGAUGACCCAAAACCUCCGUUGCUCCUUGACUAGAGUGGAGAAAUUAAUUCAUGUUUAAUGAGAACAAAACGUACGAAACUGAAGCAAAAGCUGCGGCCAUCUUUUGUGUUUGGGAGAAAAGCCACGGGAAAAUCAUUCAAUUGCACCUAAUUGCUCCUGACAUCCCAGGAGACAAAAACUACUAAGAAGCCUCCAAGGAAAACAUUAAAAACUAAGCUUCAGUAGUGCCCAAAAGAAAAGUCAAAGCUGAAACUACUAAGCAGUCCUGCCAUGCGUGAGAAAGAAAAAACCAAAGGAACACUAAGCUAAUGGAGAUAAUGAUCCCCCGCUGCUCAAUCCAAUUCCUAUCUAAUGGUCUUCCCUUGUGCGACGGCUCUCUCCCGAGAGGGAGAAGAAGACUAGCCCUGUGUUUCUUUUUCUUCUUUUUUUAUACUGUCUUCCGCCCUCAUCAGCAAUUACCAAGAUGGGAACAAAUUUUCCUUUGCCAACUAUGCCCCUCGAAUAAGCUCUAUGACUUGGACUCUUUUUUCUGUCAAAUUGACAUUUGUUAUCAUAUUUCAUUCUACUCCCUGAAAUAAAUGUAAAACACUAAAAGUGAGUAGAAUUUAACAAUUAAUUCACCUUGGGUCAGGUAAUAGGGGAAAUUAACAAUAAAAUAAAUGAUAAAAUUGCAAUCUAUCAGUAUGGGUGGGUGUGUAUGCACAAAAACUAUGUUAAUCUUCUUAACACUAUUAAUACUUAGACAUAAAUGGGAUAGAUAUGAAACUUUGGGGCUCAAUGUGUCCAAAAUUGAUUUUUUUUGGUUCAAAAAAAAAAAGUUUGGAUACAUUCAACUUCAGUCACUACCAUGAGUCAAGGCAUGCCACAAGAUUAUAGGUCACUUAUAAGUAUUCUUGCACAUAACUAACCAACAUAACCCUCAUAUUGGUAGUUGAAUUCAAAUACACGAUCUUAUUUGAGAAAAUAGUUCAUUCAUACCAAUUAAGCCAACUUAGCUUUGGCCAAAAUUGAAAUUGAUAGUACGUGCAAAAAAGAGUUAUAACAUAUUGCCAACAUUGCUAUGAACUAGUCGUGUGUUUUCACAUAAUUGGUCAGAUGUAACAUCUAUUCUAUAUAUAAAGUGGGAGGAAGGUAGCGCUGUUGGCGAGUCGAGCAACUCACAAGUAACUCGUGAGUAGCUCGGUCAAAUGCUCGAUUUGAAUUUCAUUUGAUUGAAUUCGAGCUCGAACUCGAGUAGUUCAAUGCAUAUAUAUCAAGUUGAGUUUGAGCCUCUAUUUGUGCUACUCGAGUGCUCAUUAAGUAACUUGAUUAUUGAUAUAUUAUUUAUAUUAUAUUUUUUAUUUUAAGUAUGAAAUGACUAAUAAGGGUUUAUGUUUUAGAUAAUUUGCCAUAAGUGUCGUCCACUCAAGAAAAUUCAUAAAUGAAAAAAAUGUAACAUUGUAAAGACUAGAAAAGAAACAAGGAUUUUAGAUAGUUUACCAUAAAUUUUUUAUCCUUUUUUUGAGUUUUAUUUCGAGCCCUUGAGGUUAAGGCUCGAGACUAAACGAGUCGAGCUCGAUUUUAGAAAUGCAUAUUGUUGAGUCGAGUUGAGUUACUCAAUUUUCUGCUCGCUUGAGCCAAGCUCGAGCUCGAGUAGGCUUAUAUAGUAUCGAGUUCGAACUCGAGUAUAGUACUAUUUGAAUUCAAUUCGAUUCGACUCGUUAACACCACUAGAGGAAAGGGGUUGGUAUAAAUUCUUUUGUCACUUUUUAAAUUUUCAGUUUUAUCCUCACAAAAAAUAAUUUUUUCUAAUUAUCUAAUUAUAUAUAACCAACAUGAUUUUCACCAUAACUACCUAAAAGCAUAUUACCAACAUGACUACCAACAGACAUAACCACCAAGAUAGUUAAUAAUUUAGUAGAGAAAAUUUUAUAAAAAUUAAUUUAUUCUUAAACUGCACGCAUGUGUGUGUCCUUGGCACUAGUGUAUGCCAAACUCUUAAUAAAGGGUGAUUACUACUUUGAUAGGGCCAGGACCAAUGCGCUAUAACAAUUUCAUAGACGGUUCUCUCGCAAAAUUAAAGGUGACGGUUAGAUUAUCAAACUGCAGCUUGCGUAUCUUCAUUCAUACAGUUGUUACAAUGGAUACGAAGAGAAAUUUUGGGUUAGUUUUUCAAUUUUAUUCUUUUCUUUUGAUGUGAACUCUCGAAGCUCUCAAAGUAUUGUUACCGAGCCAAAUUGAAUUUUAUGACCAUACUGACCCGCAAUAAUAAACAAUCUGUUGCCCGAUAAAGCCACCUCAUGUUUAUUUGCAAAAUGAAGUUUAAGAUAACAAAAAAAUAGUGAGAUAUCAGAAGAUGGUCCUACUUUGGAGGGCAUUCCACUAAUUAAUGACACAUACUACCCAUCUUCACACCUACUUUGGAGGUUACUCAAACUGAUAGAAACUUCGGGUAUUUCUCCUGAUGUGCAAUCUGAAUUCUUUCUGUUUUUUUGGGUGUAAUCUGAAUUCUUGUUCGGUCAUAAAAAAGAUUUUGCAUUUGUUAGCUACUAUGAAAUGUGGUAGCUGUUUUUCCCUUAGACCGAGAGAGUCAUGUAUAAAAGGAGAACACUUGUUAAAAAUGAAACACAGACAUUUAUAGUUGAUUUGACAUGAAGGGAAAUAUUCAAAAAAUGGAGAAAUAAUAGAAAAGAAAUAUUAAUUUCAUAGGUUCUUUAAAAGAUGUAAAACAAAACUAUCACUUCAGCGUUAGUAUUGAAUAUUUUCCCUACAGUACAAAACAGAUAUAUAUAAAGCAACCAUUAAUGAGGUGGUUUGCCGGUUUACAUGCAAAUCAUAUUAUGUGUUACCUCUUAAUCUGCUGAGAAUUGACAAUGACUUCAUCAAAUUUGGGCCACUUUCUUUUUAAACAAUAACAGUCCAGAUUAAUUAUGUGUUGGGGUGAUGUUGCUUAUAACAAAUUGACAAUUUGAACACCAUAGCUUGCUACAACAUGGUAUUUUAAAACCAGAGCUGAGGAAGACCAAAAGGGCCCCUGUUUCUUUGUUCGGAUGGUAGGUUAAUUAUUUUUCUGAGUAUCUUUCCAAAGUUAUUAUUGCAGUGGUUUUCUCUGGAUAAAUUUACAUUGUUUGUUGGAAAAAAAUUGUUGAAACCUGUUUUGAAGUUUUUGAUAACAACUCCAUGCAGAUGGUCUGUUUCGUUUUAGUUAGGUCUCCAUGUUUAUAAAUAAUGUCAAUUUAAUACAUGAAUUAAGUAUAAAGGUUUUAUGCAUUGAAUUAUUAGUUAACAAGAUAGGAAGUAGAUUGACAACGUCUGAAAAUCUAUAGACUGGUUUUCUAGUUAUAUUUCACUUGUGUAUUUAUUUUCUUGUAGAACCAAAAAAACAAAAAAAAUUCUUGGAUAUUCUUGCAGAAUCUUACACAAAAUUAAGAAGAAAAUUCUUCUUGUCUUCUCACGACAUACAAGAUAGAUGAACUUCAUCCCAAUCCAAAAACUAGUAAAUCUCUGUUGAAAAACUUAAGACAAGUUUGAGUCUUUUGACCUAUUUUCUCCCAAACUAAAACAAAGAAAGGGCUUGCACCUAAUUAUGGUAAAAUCACCAUCAUUAAUUCCAGGAAAUAUAUCAGGGUUUUACUCUAAUUGUGGGAGUGUAAGUUUUACUCAAUCAAGAAAACUAUUAUCUUAUGGAUAGGGGAUGGCAGUACUGAAGAUUGAACCCUCCAUUUCUUUAUAUUACUGCAACAAUUUUCAUUACUCUGUUACAAUUACACAGAGAAAUCCGCAGUUGAGAUAACUAUUCAUUGCCAAUUAUAAUAUUUUGUCAUGUUCCCUAAAGAAGGGUGAACCUCCCUGCCGAGAUAAAAGCCAUCUUCCCUGGCCAUCCAGUAGCAUACGUUACCGUAGAACUUACGUCCACAGGCAACAGCUAUGAAUCUAUUGAAAACAUCAAAAACCGGUUUUCUCUCCCCACCAGAAGAAACAAUAGUAUUUUAUGGUUCCUUGAAGAUCCAUCCGAAGAUGCCAACUAUAUUCUUCUCCUACACGAAGAAAACGUUCGCCAAGAUCAGCACCUUUGCUCGAUUGGCAAUGAGUCUUCAAGGGGGUAUCGUUGUUGGGAAGGCCACUGGCCACAUAUAUAUCAUAUGAUUCAUAAGCAGCAAAUACAUGUAUUUUUUCAACAAGGAAAAGUGAUAUGAUGAGGAUUGAGUGAAGUCUUUUGAUGGUAGUAUAGUCCAUCUUGCCUUUUCUUGUUUCAAAUUAUGGUAUCUUCUGGCUUUUUUUUUUUUUUUUUUUUUUAUAGGAGUUAGUGAUCUGCAUAUAAUGGGAGAAAAAUAACAAAAAAAAAAAAACAUUAAUUGAAAGCAUGACUUGCACUUUUGAAACGUUUUCAGUAAGGUACACUAUUUAAUACAGACUUCAUUCCAAUAAGCCUACAUGAAUUGGGUGCUGUUAAUGCCAUAAUCCUUUUUUUUUGGUUCCAUAGUCAUAUUGCAUAAAAUACCAAAAUUACCCUUCUCAGGUCCAAAUGCAAUUUAGACUUAGGAGGGGCAAUUUUGUCAUUUUAACAUAAAAUUGCUGUGGAAAUAAACUAUGGACUGUGGCAUUAUCAUUUGCCACAUGAAUUUUUUUUUUUUUUUUUUUGUCUAGAUCUGAUAUUGUUAUUGCAGAAAUAUCUAAGGUAAACACAGAUGAAGUAUUCAUAAAGUUUCACAGUUCAACUCCAACAAGAUAUUAAUGUCAACUUAAUCCUUUACUUAUGAAAAUUUGAUCACCUAAAUUAAGAGUUUCGGAGUGCAAUUUUAGCACAUAAAUACAUUUAGCUGUAUUCUCCUAGAAGAGAAAAAAUAUAUAUAAAAAAUUUAUCUGCAAUUUGCCAAAGGGUCGGAUUAUGAUUGCUCAAGUUCUCAAUUUAAGCAAAAUCCAAAAUUCUGGAUGAAAAAUGAUUUGGGUGACAUUCUUACAAAUCAAAAUUUCCUUCACUGCAAUUUUCAUUUUCGUUAGAACGCCAACUCUUUGCGAAUAAAAAUCAAAUAACUUUAGGCCUAGUUCAAAGCCGCCUUGUUUUAUGGAUGGACCAAGUAAUUGGGCAGCAGAACAUUGCCUAAUAGGGCUCAAAUUUCUUCAAUUCAGCUACCCCCUGUGGAUCUUUCCUUGUAUAAUAUAGCAACAGGGCAAAUGGCAAAAAUAGUUAUUAAACUAUAUAACAUUUCUUGAUUUGGUUAUUAAAUUUUUAUUUGACUUUUCUUUUAAUAGUAUAAGUGAGAGGGUUCAAACCCGAAAUCUCUCACUUACACUUCCUCUUUCUGAACCAUCUAACUCAUCCCUCCCCCUAAUUGUUUAUUUAACUGAAAUGGAUAGUCAUCUAAUUAAAAUGUACUCCUACAUUUUUUGUAUACUAUUAGAGCAGAUGAUAAAAAUAAUUCUUAUUAUAUAGUGUUAGAAUAAAUGGCAAAAAUAGUCAUUAAACUGUUUAACAUUUCUUUAUUCUGAUUAUUAAACUUUUUACUUACGGUCAUUCAUCUAAUUAGAACGUACUCUUACCUUUUUAAGGCUAAUAAGUAUAAAUUUUUGUUAGAUAAGUGAUACUAAAAAGUUUGAUUUUUAUCAAUUGAGUGACAAAAAAAAUGUACUUUUUAUAUGUUGAGUGAUCACAUUAGCUAAAUAAAAAUUUUAGUAACUAAAACAUAAAGUUCAAUAAAUGGGUACUAAUUUAUAAAUUAUCAUAAAUGAGUUUAAAUAGUUUACACAAUUAUACCAAUCCAAAAAAAAGGGUAAGAUGGCAAAACCACCAAACCCAAAAUAAUAGAGAAAUCCAAAGUUGAAAGCUGUUUAUUGCCAAUUGUAAUAUUUUGUCAUAUUCCCUAAAGAAGGAUGAAAACCAUCUUCCCUGGCCAUCCAAUAGCAAACGUUACCAUAAAAGUCACCUCCACAGGCAAUAGCUAUGAAUCUUUUUUUUUUUUUUUUCCGCAACGAUAUAUUUGUAUAACUUACUCUAUCCUAAUCUAGGGGGAGAGGAGCCUAAGGAGGCUGUUGUACGGGCUAGUGGAUAUACAGAUCCAACUAGACUAAGAAAAUGCUAUGGCACAAGCCUUAGAUUUUUUUCGCUGCUGGUGAAAUUUGAAUCCUCACCAACAGCCCAUGGAAGGACUUAAGUCCCUCCUGGUGGCCACUGAGCCAUUGGCCUAGUGGUUAAUAGUUAUGAAUCUAUUGAAAACAUCAAAAAACAUGCAUGGUUUUCCCUCCCCACCAAAAGAAACAAUAGUAUUUUAGGCUUUCUCGAAGAUCCAUCCGAAGAUGCCAACUAUAUUCCUCUCCUACAUGAAGAAAACGUUCGCCAAGAUCAUCACCUUUGUUCGAUUGGCAAUGAGUCUUCAAAGGGAUAUAUCAUUGUUAGGAAGGCCACAGGCCACAUAAUAUAUAUCAUACGAUUCAAGAACAGCAAUUACAUGCAUUUUUUCAACAAGGGCAAGUGAUAUGGGGAGGAUUGAGUAAGGUUUUGUCCAUCUUGCCUGCCCUUUCUUGUUUCAAAUUAUGCUAUCUUCUAGCAUUUUUAAUUUGUAGGAGCUACUCAGCUGUAUAUAGACAUUAAUUGAAAGCAUGACUUACAGUUUUGAAAGGUUUACAGUUAGGUACACAAUUUAAUACAAACUUCAUAGCAAUAUAAUUUUGAAGCCUACAUGAAUUGGGAGCUAUUAAUGCCACAGCCCAUUUUUUUUAGUUCUACGACCAUUUUUGCAUAAAAUAUCAAAAUUACCCUUCUGAAGUCCAAAUGCAAUUUAGACUUAAGAGAGGCAAUUUUGUCAUUUUAACGCAAAAUGCCGUGGAAUUAAAAUACAUUUAGCUGUAUUCUCCCAGAAGAGGGGAAAAAAAAUACGACUUUUAUAUGCAAAUGCAAUUUGCCAUAGGGUCAAAUUAUGAUUGCUCAAGUUCUCAAUUAUAGCAAAAUCCAAAAUUCUGCAUAAGAACUGUUCUUGCAAAUAUUUGGAUAACAUUCUGAUAAAUCAAAAUUUCCUUCACUGCAAUCUUCACCUUUAUUAGAACGCCAACUCAGCGUGAAUGAAGGGCAAACAACAUGAGGCCUAGCUCCAAGCUGCCUCGCUUCAAUGCCCAAGUAAUUGGGCCGCCGGAUAUCAUGUGUCGGGCCCAAGUUACUUCAAUUCAGCUGCCGUGCGUGAAGCUUUGCUUAUAUAUAAUGUAACAAUAGAGCAAAUGGCAAAAAUAGUCUCUUUUUUUUUUUUUUUUUUUUUUGUGGUAAGUGGAAAGUUUUGAACCAAAACCUUCUACUUAGGUAAAGAUAGUUAGUAAAAUAUUAAACAUUAAUUGUUUUGGUUAUUAAACUUUUAUUUAAAUAAAAUGGUUAUUCAUCUAUAUAAAAUGUACUCCUACACUUUUUGUAUAGGAUUAGAGCAAAUGAUAAAAAGAAUCCUCAUUAUAUGGUCUUAGAAUAAAUGCCAAAAAUAGUUAUUAAACUAUUUAAUAUUUCUUUAUCUUGAUUAUUAAACUUUUUACCUAUGGUCAUUCAUCUAAUUAAAGUGUACUCCUACUUAUUGAAGGCCAAUAAAUAUAAAUUUUUAUUAGAUGAGUGAUAAAAAGUUUGUUUUUUUUUUUUUAUUGAUUGAGCAAAGAUGCACUUUUAAUAAGUUGAGCGAUCACAUUAGCUAAAUAAAAAGUUUAGUAAAUAAAACAUAAAGUUCAAUAAAUGGGUACGAAUUUAUAAAUUACCAUAGAUGACUUUAGAUAAGUUACACAAUAAUUAAUAUGGAGAGGUACUUUUGUCUGAAAAUUUAAUAACGGGACAAAAUGUUUAUUUAAUGAGUUUGGGGAGCAAAACAUAAUUAAAGGUAAAGUUCAGGGGGUAUGGUGCAUUUAGCCCUUGUACUAAUCCAAUGAAAUGGGUAAGUUGGUACGAUUACACAAAGUAAAAACUCUUUCCGUCCGAAAGCAUAAAAACCAUCUGUGGAUUCUCUCGACGACAAUUGCUCUCUAACCAUUUCUCCGUCGUUGCGACCUCCGGCGACACUAUUCUGCUGCACCGGCAGGGUAUUGUCACCAUCAUCUUGUUAGUGCUUUGGGAUUAUUAUGGAUUCUUGAGAGAGGGGACAUUGUUUUGCUAUGAUAAUACUGUGCCUAGUCCUUGCUGGAAGCUGAACUUUCUGAAAGAUCAUCAUUGUUUCGGAAGUUGCAGUAAUUCAGGUCCGAACUGGUGACUUGUUUAUGUAGUUAUCGAUUAACUUGUCUAUUAAGUGUUGUGAAAUGUGCAGUCUAAUAAUGGGUGCUAUCUGUUUGUUGUUUUGCCUGAAGAAACUUUUGAAAUCUGAUGCCCCAUUUGCUUGAUGAAAAUUUUCAUUCUGGGAGUUUUUAGCCUGUAGUUCUAUAUGUUGUUGUUUAUUGGCGUAUUGAGGUUGAAGAAAUUUAAAUUGGAAGGACAUUAUUCUGUUGUUCUCUGUCUCGGCUUUCAUAUGAAAAACCCUUAAGUGCAACCAAAGUUGCUGUGCCACUAGGGAUGAAAUGAUAUGAACGUGCGUGUGAAUGUGUCUAUAUAAAAAUUUUUGCUUCGCUUUAGUGCAGAUUUUGAGCGCAACUUUGUCCUGCUCAAUGCUGUUAUUUUCAUUGUUGUUCUAUUGCGUCCAUAUAAUAAAUGUGGUUUUUGCAAACUCUUCAAUUUUCUUAUGUUUCUUUAUGUUUUCACUAUUUUAGAUUUAGGGGAAAAAUAACUACAGUAUCAAAUUGGGCCCAGCACGAACUUUAGUUUUUAAGAUUUUCUGAGUUUUGUUCAAAAAUUUUGUUUCCCGAAAAGGAUGUGGCACCCCGGGGGGGGGGGGUUUGAUCUAUUUAUGGUUUAUUCCGCAUAGUCACCACCCGAAGAUUUAGGUAAGUUAAUGCUUUUGUUUAUCAUUUUUCUUGAAUUAAUUCAUGGCAAUGUUUUUCUCCUCCUUUUUUUUUUGGGGGUACUAAAAGCAGUGGAUCUUUAAGGAUAUAUGUAUUUUUGGGUGGAGUAUUUGUUUGUUUUUAGUUCAGUUUAUAUUGUAAUAAUAUGGGUUAUUUUGUCAUAUUGGUAAUUUCAAGUUUAAGGUCGCCUCAUCAUCUUUAACACUAGAUGAUCAUUUAGUUUAAGUAGCAGUUUGGUGCAGACUUGUUGAAGUUACUACUAACAGCUUUCAUGACUUCUAAAGGUGUUCUCCUGCUGAAGGAUGUGAUGGGGCCAAGAUGGAAAGGAAAGGGAGCAGAAGCAAAAGCACUUGCUGAUCCCAUUUCCACUAUAGUUUCCCAGCUUCAAUCUUCUCUAGUUCAGUCAAGCUCUCAAGGUUUAUUGAUGAAUUCCAGCGUACUCUUUGAAGCAGAUGCCAAACAAACUGAUCUACUUAAUCGAGCUUGUUUUGGCCGCCCGGUAGUCACAGCUAAGAAGGAUAAGCAGUGGUUCCAAUUAGGUCUGGAGGAAGCUUUUUACCUCUUCUAUGUCCUAAAAUGCAUCAAAAUCGUCAACGAAAAUAAUUGUGAAAUUGAUAGUGAAGAGUUGUGGAUGUACAUGACGUCCAAAAAGGAAAAUUUUCCGAAUUUAUUCAAAGCUUAUUCUCAUCUUCGGAUGAAGAAUUGGGUGGUUAGAUCAGGAUCACAGUAUGGUGUGGACUUUGUCGCGUACCGGCAUCAUCCAUCUUUGGUGCAUUCGGAGUAUGCUGUGAUUGUUUUGUCUGAUAAUAAUGGUGAAACAAAUGGGCGUUUGAUGGUUUGGUCUGAUUAUCAUUGCACACUUAGACUUUGUGGCAGUGUUGCAAAGACAUUGUUGCUUCUUAAUAUUGAUAAAUGUGGAGAGAAUGCAACAUUGCCAUCAUGUUUAGAAAGUUACAUUGUUGAAGAAAGGACAAUCACUAGGUGGAGUCCACAACAAUGCCGUGAGAACCAAACAAUUGCAACUGGGGAAUCUUGACACCAAGAAUUUGCGACAGCAGUUGUCAACAAGGAUUAAUGACAUAUCAGACCAUGGAAUAUUUUGAUGAUUUUUAAUGCAGGCUUUGAUGGUUUUAGAAGGGAUUGUCCCUUCUGUACAAUUUAGAAAGAUUCAAGUUCCUCAUCUUGCUUACUGGAUUUUGGUGUUGGAAAUGUAAGAACUGCAAAGAAGUUCACAGAAAUUUAUUGUGUAUGUCAAGUGAUAGAAGAAGUGGAACUGGGAAAACAGGCUUGGUAGAAGCUGUAUGAGAUGGAUAUGGGACAACUGGCACCAGUGUGGUUGAGGUUAGCAGUGAAACUUCCAGCGUUGUGUUUUCAGCGUUAGAGCGCUGAGAAGAACAAUCACAAGAUGAAUCCAGAUCUUGCUGUGAGAAUUGGAUGGGAUGAUGAUUACACAACCAAGGCAUAUACUUGAGUUUGCCUAUGUUCUAGUAAUUUUGAGAGGUUUCUGUAGAAUGCAGAAGGUGCCGGCCUGAUCAGGUGUAACGUGUUUUAAAUUACAUUUCGUAGUUCCUAUUGAUUGUUUAAGCUCGAAAUGUAAUUGAUAUCAAACGUUGAGUGUUCCUGUUACUCAUCAGCUUCGAUUGAACAUUGUGUAUCUAUCAUUUCCUUUGGCCCUCUGCCGCCCCAUCAGUCUAAUGAAUAUCUCAUUUAUUCUCUUCUGCUGCUAUAUGCCAAGUGCAGAAAUGUCUGCAGGAUAUACUUUGUCGAAAAGAAUUAGAUCUUAAAAUACAGAAGUAAUAUAUAAUCGAGGGCUUUAUACUGAGGAUAAUUUUAUUAUUUUUUUUGCGCACAAACCAAAAGAUGAACUAAUUCAUACAUCAAAACUGAACUCGAUGGAGCAUAAGCUACCAAUCAUACAUUUUUACCAAAUCCGCUGGAGACGGAUUACUGUUAUUGGCAAAAUGGAUGGUGUCUUCAGUCACUGACCAACAGCAAAUGUUUCCUUGCCAUUUGCCUCCGCAAGCUUCAGCCAAGUGAGAAUUGAAUACAUCGAAAGUUAUGACUUUCGUAUUCCACCAAAAAUGACACAGAUAUCUAGGUGUCUCCCACACAAUAAAGAGAUGCCAACUGAAAAUUUCUUUUGGUUGAAGUGUACGAGAACCAACAUCGGAGUCUAAAGAUUGGCAGUGGAUCUUCAAGGGAGGAGAAUUGAUUGGAAAAUUAUUCACUAUGUAAAAAACGCCAUACCCCUAAAAAAUAGCAAGAACCUGUGUACCCUGAAUCAGGAAAAGAGAGGAAAGAAGCAAGGAGAAAAGAAUUUUGAUAGUACGGUUGCUCAUAUUGUCAAUUUGAGUUUAGUUCACUGAGUUGCAAGAUAUUUAGCAUUAGCCCAUGUUCUUUAUAUAAGUUAGUUACCAUAAAAGAAAUAUAAGUAAUUUGGCGACAUGUAUGAGAAACGGAUACUUAGCUGUAAAAGUUCCCUAAAUUGGGCAAAUCAUUUAUUGCUGUAUCUGGCUAGAACAUAAUCUGGAAAACUUUUAAUGGUUGGGGUCAAUUAGAAAUUGGCAAAACGUGUUAAGUACUGUGCUAUAACGUGGGAAUGGCAACGCGGCAGAGAUGCCCAGUAUUGCCCCCGCACCGCUUCCCCUGCGGGGUUGAUACAAGUUUUUCCUGUAAUUGUAUAUUGUAGCUAAAUUUUAGUCAAGAAUCAUGUACUUAAAAUACCAACACAUCACGAAGUUAUUAUUCACUAUAAUUUCACAAUUGAAAUUCAUAAAAAUAAUUAAACAAAAAUACAAUUGAAUACAAUCCAACAUGAUGAGACAAAUACAACUAAAAUAGUCAAACUUUUACUUUUGAAACAAAUACAAUCACCAAGUCAUUAUUGUGUUUUUUUAAAAAAAAAAUGUUAUUAUGUUAAGUGUAAUUAGAAAUUUAGUAUAAAUGUAUUAGUAAAUUUAUUAGCAUGACUAAUUAAUAAUUUCUAUUAGUAUACAUGUAUAAUUAUUAAUAUAAUUGAUAAUAUUAAUUAUAUUAUAUAACUAAUGUAAUUACAUAAUACUUACAAUAUCAUUAUCAUAAGUUAUAACUAAUUAAAAUAAAUAACAUAUAUAUAUUUUAACGAGUGGCGGGGUAGGGGAAUGCUCUGCCGCCCCCCACCUUAUUUUUUAACUGGGGCUCUCGCGGGGCACUCGUUCCAACUGUCAUCCCUUCUAUAACGUAAAAAAAUAUUUUUGAAUGCUGAUUAUUCACUAAAGGGUCAUGCUCCUAGUUUUUAUUUAGAAAAAUGAUGAAUUUGACUAAUAAUAAUAUACUUGGUGGUUUUUUUGUACACCUUCGCUCUAUUUCCCUCUACUUGACAUGAAGUUCUACGCUACCUUUUGAUUACCGUAUCCAUGAGUUUGUUCGAUAAGAAUCAGGACAUAAAAAACUAUCCUCCUUUCUUCCAAAUUAAUUUCCAUGCAACAAGCGAGACUUAAAACUAGUUUUUCCUAACAAAUCUAAGCACCUAACAUUAUCUCCUAAGCUAGCCUGAAUUGAGCGUAAUCAUGACACAUGUAAAAGUGUGGUACAUAUUAUAUUACAUUUUUUUUUCUAAGAGAUAGAAAAACAUACACUCAAUUAGAUUAGAAACACUCAGGAACAACCCAAUUAAGAGUAAUCUAAGAGGAUUCACAAGAAAUCGACGUCCAGCAAUUGGUGGGUAUAUACUAUACAUGGAUGCUGCAAAGUUGGCUACUGUUCUUUUAGAUAAGGCAAAUAAUUAAGCAAAAUAUGGAAGCUCUCAUGCAUCUCGUGCGGCCGAUUUUCCAAUGAUGUUUACUCUUAUUUGCGCAUGGGCGGAACUAGUGGGGACCAAGGCGGGCGGUCGGAUGCACAGUGCGGGGAGAUGGGAAUUUCCAUUAAAAUUCUCUCUUCGCCCGCCUUCCUCCUUCUCCCUUCUCCCUCUAAAUUUUGAGAAAAUUGAAUUGCCCUCCUCCACCUAAUUUUUGCUUUAUGAAAAAUUAAAACUUUCAUUCUUUAGAUUUGUUUGACCUCGCUGCUUUAUCACUUUAAUCUGUAAGGUUCAUCUUGUUAUAGUUGCAUUAGCACUUCAAAUUGAUUUGUUAAAACAAACUCAGACCUCUCAUUUACAUUCCUUCUCCUUAUACUACCUAAUUCGUCCCUUCUCCCUCCCCACUUUAAAAGUAAAUUUUGUACACACUUUUCAAUUAAUUAUUUCAUUUUUUAUCUAUCCAAUUUCAAUUUUAAAUACCUGGUCACGCAUACAUAUAAUUUUUUAUCUGAAGGUGAGUGGAGAACCACAAUUGACAUUCUUAAUACAUAUAUCUAUGUAUAUGUGUAUAUGUAUGUGUGUGUAUAAAAUCUUUUAUUUGUGAAGUUGAGACUACUAAUUAAGUUUGAGAUUAGAGGAUACUCAAAUUGUAGCUUUUUGCUCUCCACUUUCUAAGGAUGUAUAGUUGUACUAAUAAAUAACUAAUGCAUAUUUUGUGUUCAGUAAUCAAUAUGCUGCUUGCCGACUGUGUUUCAUACUGUUGAGACAGAAAUUCGAUUAAACAUUUUUAUACUUUGAGUUGGAAUCAUAUAUGAAGUGUUCGGGGGAUCAAGGGCGGCUGAACGUACAGCUGGUCCCUGUAUUGGCUGCGGCCAUGGACAUACUAUGCUAAUAAUUGAUUGGUACAGUCAAUGUGUUGCUCAAUUAUUCAGUCUCCAGAAUGUCCAAACUUUCCCCUAUGCCCAAAGCUGUUAGAGAACUCGUACACAAUGGUUUGUCUGAGAAGCAAACCUUCCCUAUAUUUCUUACUUAUUCUGCUUCUAUUGCUUGAGUUGAUUUUUUCUUUUUCAAAGAAUCUUAUAUACUAUGGAAAAAUCUUUACUGUUGGUUAAUCAUGUAUGAGUAGUUUUUCUUUUUUUGAGAGAAUUGGUGCGUUUUAUAUUAACAAAAUAUAAGAAUUUACACUCUUAACAGUUAACUUUCUCGUUUUCCUUUACAAUUGUAAGACUAAAUAAUAGCUUUGUCUACCCUAUUGAGAUAACCGGUCAUAAAGUUAGCAGCUUGAUACGAUACACAAAAUAUGGAGUCACCUACCUAAAGCAUGAUAUUAUGUCCUUUAUAUCAGAUAUGCAACUAGAGCACUCCGACGGUGGAAUAUGUACAAGCUAUGUUUUCAGAACCGGACCGGAUAGUGACUCGGCCGAGGUCAGGGGUCAGGAGUCAAUGGAUUCGAUCGGGGGUCGAUAGGGGUCGAACCGGAUGACGUCAUAAAUAAAAAUUAUUUAAAAAUUAAAAUAUUAUAUAUAUAAUAUCUAAUAAUAUAUUGAUAUUAAUAAAGGUAUAUUCAUAUAUAUUUGAUGUUUCAAAUAUAUUUAACAAGAAAAUACAAAGAAAUUAGAACAAUCAAGUAGCAAUUUAUAUUAUUUAAUAAAUAUUAACAAGUUUAGAAUUAAAAUUAUGAAUUUAAUUGAAAAAUAACAUCAAAUUUUAGGACAAUAUUUAUAAAGUAUCAAAUAUUUGAGGUAUAUCAAUAAGUUUUAACAAUUUAGGGGGUCAAAACAUAAUAUAAAAAAGUUUGAAUUUUUUUUAAAAAAAAUUACUGUUGAACCGAAAAAACUGAUUUUUUCCCGAUCAAACCCGAUUUUUGACCGGUUUUGACCGGAUUUUAAAUUUCCGGUUUUUUAAUAUGACUCGGACCGGCUACUUGGCCGGUUCCCGGUUCGACCGGUUCGACCCGCCGGUCCGGUCCGAGUUUUAAAACAGAGUGUACAAGUGAUUGUAUGCGCUAUAUCCAAUCCACCAUAAUGGCCCACUUAUUUUAUUUUCAUUUUUCGUAAUUCACCAAAAAUUAAUUAAACUUUUACAUUGCCUGAAAAGAACUAAAAGAGCCAACACUUAUAUGGCUUGCAGUAGUAGGUUAUGUAUAUAGUAAUUAAUCUAGCAUGCCUUUUGUUUUAACAAUGGAAUUAUUUCAUUGAUGAGCAGGUACUGUCUUGAAUGAAAAAAACAGUACCUGACUUUCAUUCCUUAAAACUUUAUAUUUGUGACCCUGUUAAAAAGGUGUUUUCUCUUGCCAUUGCAUUAACUACAGGGAAAACCUCUGGAAGUGGCAGUUUCAGCAAACUGCCAGACGCAGGGUUUCAAAUAUAUAAUAGAAAAUCACAAGUGAACGGCCAUGGUAGCAGCUUCAGCAAACUACCAGACUCAGGGUUUCAAAUAUAUAAUAGAAAAUCACAAGUGAACGGCCAUGGUAGCAGCUUCAGCAAACUACCAGAUUCAAAAUUUCAAAUAUAUAAUACGAAAUCUCAGGUGAAUAGCCAUGGUACAAAUCCAACUAAAGAUCAACUCUACAAUGACAAAAACAUUACAAUUUUCUUCCUUGGAAAGGAUUUGCACCGCGGCUCAAGCAUGAAUCUGGAGUUUGUUGAGUCGCUAAAGAUUACUACACUAUUCCUGCCAAGACAAGUUGCUGAUUCCAUUCCCUUUUCCUCCAAAUCUGUUCCUGAGAUAUUGAACAAAUUCUCACUGAAGCCACAAUCAGAAGAAGCCGAAACUAUUAAGAAAACAAUUGCAGAGUGCGAGAUGCCUGGAACAAAAGGGGAAGACAAGUACUGUGCGACUUCACUCGAGUCAAUGAUUGAUUUCACUACUUCCAAGCUGGGGAAAGAUGUUCGAGCAGUUUCAACUGAAGCAGAAAAAAUAGAUACCAAAAUCCGAAAAUAUACUACUAAGGAUGUUGCCAAGUUGAACACGGCUGCUAAAGUCGUUUCUUGCCAUAAGGAAAAGUAUCCGUACGCAGUAUUUUACUGCCACACAUCGCAGAGUAAUGCAUAUAUGACCAAUUUGGCUGCUGCUGAAGAUGAAGCUAAAGCUAAAGCUGUGGCUGUUUGCCACAAGGAUACAUCACAAUGGGACCCAGAGCAUUUGGCCUUUCAGUUGCUAAAGGUGAAGCCAGGAACUGCUCCAAUCUGCCAUUUCCUUCCUGAGGAUCACAUCAUUUGGGUUCCAAAGUAAUAAAUAUUCUGCAACAAUAUUGCCGGCAUCCCCUGUCCGGGAGUGUAUCAAUAUUUGUCAAUUUAACAUGGCAUUUAUAUUUGCUGCAGUGUGGGAGUUCCAAUCACAUGCUCCUUUUUUUGUUUUUUUGGUUGUUUCAGUCGCAUGUUCUUCCCAUGAUUAAAUGAAACCUUGUUUAGUUUCGUCUCUAAUGGUUGUACUAUGUCGAUGUAAUAUCACCCAGAUGGAAUGGUGUCUGGGUAAGUAUUAUUAAUGGUUCAAUUGUCUGUGGGCUGUUUUUCAAUGUGUUUGUGGGUUGUUUCUAGAUGUGCUACUUUAGUUUUAGACUGUUUAAGUUAAAAUUGUUUUUCUAAAACACCUCAAAAAUAGAAUUGUCUACCGGUAUGCUCGAAUUGGGCAUGGGGCCUCACAAAUUCCAUUUUAAACCAGUUUGCCUUUAGAGUAUGAACAAAUUGGAAAAGAGUGUGAAACAAAUUUAAAAUGACCAUUUUUUAAGGUCAAAUAUACUCUCAUGUCUUCUUAAUUUUCGGUGUUUAUAUACUCUUCUUAAUGGAGCGUGCAAAGUAUCACAAGACAAGGCGAUGAGGGACAAACUUCUGAGCAUGUCCGGCGCCAAACUUCGGGGAACUCAACUUGCAAGGGUGAUUGGUGCCAUGACCAGCGCUGGUCAUCAUCGGCAACUUUAUUUUUAUUUUUCUUUUCUUUUCCUUUUUUAUUAUUUUUUUCCCAAACGAUAGAAACUUUCAUUACUUCAUCAAAGGAUUACAAGUCUGGAGCAAAGGCUCCUACAUCAUUUUUGGCUAUACUACUCAGCCAAUUUGGAAAUGAAUCAACCCAAGUUAUCUCAGAAACUAAGUUUAAGGCAAAUUUUCCCAACUAAUGUGACACAGAAUUCCCUUCCCUCUUAAUAAAAGAGAAAAGACAGGAACUAAAACCUUUGCUAAGUACCUCUAUGUCAAAGAGGACAGCUCCUGCUAAAUGAUCAUUCAGGUUCCCCUCCCUGAUCUGAUCAAUAAUUCCCUUGCAAUCAGAUUGGAUGAUAAUGUUCAUCCAGCCAUUUCUCUUGGCAAAAAUCAGAGCUUUCUGAAUUGCCAUAGCCUCUUCAACAGCAGGAAUUCCCUUUCUAUCUUCACUACCAGCCCAAGCACCUCUUAACUUUCCUUUACUGCAUCUAGCCACAACUCCCCAUCCUACCUUAGCUUCAUUCUUUCUAAUUGCUGCAUCAGUAUUUAUACAUAAAAAACUUCCUGAUGGUGGCUGCCAGCUAAACAUCCUGUCUUCUGUUCCCCUCCCAACUGCUUCCUCAUCUCUUAUUGCCAAGUUAGCUACCUGGAACUCUAACCAUUCUUGAACCGCCUUAUUUGCUGUUACGCCUGGACAUCUACCCUCUCUAUUAAACUGUAUAUGAUUCCUAGAUUUCCAAAUCUGCCACAAUACAUUAAUAGUCAGCUCAAUAUGCUCCCUACCUUCCUUCCUAGCCUUUGCCUCCAUCAGACCACUCCACCACAGCCAAAAGUUAUGCCUGUAGUCCCUCAAUCCAUCCCAGUUAAUUGGGGCAGCUUUUUAUAUCAGCUCAGCAUGCUUACAGAAAAAGAACAUAUGCUCCAUAGUUUCUAUCCCUUCUCCACAAAUACAACACCUAUCAUUACCUUGUCCAAUUCUCCUCCUAAUUGUUUCAUUAACUGGCAAUAUACACUGAAAACAUUUCCAAAUAAAAUGUUUGAGCUUAUGCUCAAUGUUCAGACCCCAAGAAACUUCCACACCCCCGAAUUUGUUCGUUCCUGCUGUUGCUUCCCUGCUGUAGGCUGUCUUUUCUACCCUUGUCCUCUAUCUCUUUUGCCACCACAUAUCCAGACUUCACAGUGUACUCACCUGAUUUAGACAGUAUCCAAACCAGUCUAUCCUUACCGCCAAAAGCACUUAUUGGAACAUUAAGUAUCCUUUGGCAGUCCUCUUCCUCAAACAGGUUCCUCAGUAAGUCCUCAUUCCACCUUUCCUUAGAAAUCAGCUCAUGAACUUUCUGUAUCCUACAAUGCUGAGGCUUUUUUGUCUUAUUUUUCCAUCUUCACGUCAAGCAACCACCUGUCCUUCCAUAUCCUAAUCUGCUGACCAUUUCCCACUCUUUUCCGUACCCUUGCUGCUAACACCUCCCUUAAGCUCAGGAUACUUUUCCAUAUCCAGGAAUCCCCUGCAUGACUUCUCAUGUUCCAAAUGGAAGCUCCUCUAAAGUACCUCCCCCUAACAGUCUUGCUGACUAAUAGGUCUGGCCUUGUCAAAACUCUCCAGAGCUGCUUAGCAAGCAUAGCAGUAUUAAAUUGUUGGAGAUCUCUAAAACCCAACCCCCCUUUCCCUUUCACCUCAGACAAUCUCCUCCAUUCCAUCCAAUGGAUUUUCCUGUUUUUCUCCCUAUUACCCCACCAAAAUCUGGCCAUUUCCUUACAAAUAUCCCUACAUUAUCCUUUUGGCAGUUUGUAGCAGCUUAUAGCAUAUGUAGGAAGAGCUAGUAUCACAGAUUUUAGAAGCACCUCCUUACCAGCAUUACUCAGCAGCUUCUCCUUCCAUCCCCCCAACCUGUUGCUGACCCUCUCCCUGAUGUAGUUAAAGACUUGCCUCUUUGGUCUUCCAAUAACCAUUGGUAAGCCUAGAUACUUGCUUUGCUUAGCCUCCUUCAUACCUCUCAAGAUAUUUAGAAUUUCACCCUUUACUGAAUUCCCAGUAUUCUUGCUAAAGAACACUAAGGACUUUUCAGCAUUUAUGGCCUGUCCUGAGGCUUCUCUAUACAACUUCAACAAAUUCAUCACAUGAGCAGCCUCCUCCUUAUAUCAUCUGCAAAAAAGAGAUGAGACAAAGUUGGACUCUGCUUAGCAAUCUUAAGUCCAGAAAUGUCAUGGUUAGUCAUGGCUUUCUUAAAUAAACUUGACAGAUCCUCAGAGACUAGUAAAAAAAUGUAAGGAGACAGUAGGUCUCCUUGCCUAAUGCCUCUUGUAGGUGUAACCAAACCUCUUUUUUUCCCCAUUCAAAUUAAAAGAGUACACCACAGAAGACAUGCACUUCGAAAUCUAGUUCCUCCACUUUUGACAAAAACCCAUUUUUUCCAUUACUUUUUGCACAAAACUCCACUCCACUCGAUCAUAGACUUUGGCCAUAUCAAGCUUCAAAGCCAUGAAAGCGUUUGAUCCACAUCUUCUAUUAUUCAAACAAUGAAUGAAUUCAUGUGCAAUAACAACAUUAUCAAUGAUUUGUCUACCUGGAAUAAAAGCUGACUGGUUUUGGCUAACAUAGUGUUUUAGGAAAGGCUUAAGUCUAUUGACCAAGAUUUUAGAGAUUAUCCUAUAGACUACAUUACACAAGCUAAUGGCUCUAAAUUGAGAACCAAAAACUGGAGACUCAAUUUUAGGAAUGAGAGUGAUAAUAGUUUCAUUGAUAGCCUUCAGUAAAUGCCCAGAAUGAAAGAAACUAGAAAUGGCACUUACUAAAUCAUUUUUGAGUACACUCCAAUACUGCUGGAAGAAAGCAGGAGUCAUGCCAUGAGGUCCAGGAGCUUUGUUGGAUUGCAAAGAAAAAACAACUUUUCUGACUUCCAUUUCUGAUACAGGUCUAACCAGCAUAGCAUUCAUUUGGUCUGUGAUCACCCGAGGGAUCCCACUCAAUACUGGUUCAACCUGCUGGGGAUUACUGGAAGUAAACAGAUCCUGAAAGUAUCCAUUGAUUUCUUCCUCAAUAUCUGGCUCAGAAUCACACCAAUAUCCAUCUCCUCUUUGCAAACCUGAUAUAUUAUUCCUUCUCCUCCUCUCAGUAACACUAGCAUGAAAAAAUUUUGUAUUCUUAUCACCAUCCUUCAACCAUUUGACUUUAGCUUUCUACUGCUAGAACACCUCCUCUCUCCUAUAGGCCUCUUCCAGUUUCUUAAGCUCUCUCACCCUCCCAGUCUUAUUGGCUUGACCAUUUUCAUUAGCCUCUAUGAUCUUCUGUUUCAGCUCUACAAUCUUUUUUUUUUUUUUUUUGCAUUUUUACCCUUUUGUUUAUUCUAGUUCAGAAGAGCAACUCUGCAAUUCCUAAUUUUUUGAUGCAGUUUAAAAAAUCUAGAUCCCUCCUGCUGUUUCUCCCAUUCCUUAGACACAAUCUCUCCCACUUCCUUAUUAUUGAUCCAAUUUCUAUCAAAAUAGAACCUCCUUUUCCAUUUCCUACCCUUUGGUUCAGUGUCUAGUAGCAACAUAACAUGAUCAAAAGCAUUAUUUUGUAUAUGUAAGCACUUAGCCUUCUCAUGCUCACUUCUCCACUGUUUACUGCAUAGAAUUCUAUCCAAACAUUCCUUAACUUCCCUCCCUUCCUCCCAAUUAUUGACCAUGUCCAUGGAAUCCCUUCAAAACCAAUGUCAACCAGCUGAUUAGUGUUUACAAAAUGCCUAAAAAUCUAAAAACUACUAUCAGGCCUCUUACUACCCCCCACUUCUCAUCAUUAGAUAGAAUAUCAUUCAUGUCCCCUGCUAACACCCAUUUUUGACCCACCCACUCAUCCUAUCUUCUAUGAUCUUCCACUGUUUCUCUCUGAUCAGAUCCACACUACUAGCAUACAAACAAAUCAGCCACCACCUAUCUCUAGCACCAGUCCUUUCUAGCAAAACUUCAAUGGUAAAGUCAGUACAAAGAAACUGACAGAUCUUCAAAUCAUUUCUCCACAUCACAGCCAUCCCACUAGCUAUACCAAUUGGAUCCACCAAAACCAUACUAUCACAUCUUAACUUUAGUCUCACCUUAUUCAUAACUUCUUUUUUAUUUUUUGUUUCUGAUAAGAAAAUCAACUCAGGAGAGUGGAGUUUGACACUCUCCUCUGUUUGGGGAACUGUCAAGGGGCUUCCAAUACCUCGACAGGUCCACAACAGAGCUCUCAUUGAGACUUGAGAGCUCCAUUAAGGUAGGACUCCACCACCUCAGAUGCUAGCUCCACCCCAUCCAUACUACACCCAGUCUUGCCUCUUUUCUGGCUGUCCCCUUGUUCACUAAUAUUUUCCUUAUCCACACUCUCACUCAGCUUCCUUUUACCCCUUUUAUUAGCUAUGACCAUACUCCCAUUCUUGUUCGCCAGAGGGAUUCUUCUACUUACCUCACGAAUUAACCUCUUCCACCCUCUAUUCCCCUUAUACUUCACCCUUUUUAACUCUAUACUACCAUUCAGCUCCUAUUGUACUAUCACAGGAUCACUCCCUUUAUCUCCUACAUUCCUUCCCUUAGUAUCAGGAUCAAUUCCAUCAAUCCACAUAGAAUCAAAAAGUUCCUGAUCCUUCAACCCCUCAUCGGGCCAUCCUCCUGUAUUUUUUCCUCAGUUGUGAAGAUCAAUCCCCUUGUGGUUUUACUCUUUCCCUUAACAGCAUCUCCCUUCUUCUUAUGAUCAGGCUGCACACUUUCUUCCUUUAUGACUUCCAACACUACUCCCUGGUCCCUACUCUUUUUAGUGUCUUUUAUUAUUGCCCCUAGAUCCCUCUCCUUUCCCUCACUCCCUUCUACUACUGUAUCAACAUGUACCUCCACUAGCUUCCAGGGCAGACAUAGUUGUUCCUGCCCCCCGUCCCCCCUCCUUAGCCAACUGUGGCCCUUCACCAACCUUAUUCUUCUCCCUACUCAAAGUAUUCUAUUUCCUAAUAGGACUCCUCGCAUUACUUGCUCUAAGCCAGGCUCCAUACUAAUUUGCCUUAUCCAUAUUCACUCCUUUUUCCCUGCAACUCCUCUCAUUAUGCCCCAUGACCCCACAGCAGUAGCAGAAGCCAUCUAGUACUACACCUCAACUUAACAGUGGUUCCUCUCAGCAUUGGCUUAGUUAAAUCCAUCUCAACUAGAAUUUUUAAAUGUUUCCCAUCCUUUCCACCACCAUGAGGAAUAAUCACCUCCUUAACAGAGCUGAAAACUCCCCCAAUUUUCCUACCAAUGUCCUUGGUAAUCCAGUGAAUAGGUAAAUUCCACAGCUGGACCCAAAUCCAAGUCCUAUUAAAAGCCUCAAGGUUCAGUUCUACCCCCUCCUCCCACGGUAACACUACCAAAGGCAAAUUGUCAUAAACCCAAGGCCUACCCCUCAGCACCCUAUCCAUUUCUUGUUUAUUACUGAAGCUAAACUGAAACAUAUUAACCCCUAUCUCAACAACUCUUAGAUUUCUGGCAAACGACCACAUAUUAUUUGUAAAGCUCUUUAUACCAGUAAUGUUUGCAGUCUUCUCCCCCACCACCCUACCAAUAAUGCUCAAUUAACAAUCAACUACUCCUUGAGCCAGAUCAUUACUAUCUAACUCUACACCCUCCGCCUCCUUCUCCGUCAAAGCAAAUUUCCUCAAAAUUUCAUCCAGAUCCUCAGUCAUCCUGAAUCAAUACCAGUAAAUCCCCAACUAAACAGACCAAGUGAACACUACUCGUAUCCUGACCAAACAGAAAUAGAGGCUACGAAAAGCAAAAGAAGCAACAAAGAUGAUAGGUCAUAAUUUGUUGUUAAAUUUAUAAUUAUUCUCCCCCUGAUUUUAGCCAAAUAUUAUUUUAAUCGUCAGAUUCUACUUAUAUUUGGUAUUUUGUGCUUAUUUCAGGAGAAAGAAUGAAAAGUGCUUAAAAUCAAAUUUCAGAGAACUUCUUGAUGAGUAGGUAUGCCCACGCCUAACUCCAGCCUUCUUGGCCGGACCUUCGGGAUUAUGUGCACGUGGAAAGCUUCCUAGAAUGAGUGGAAUAGCUGGCUUCAAACUAGGAAAUCACAAGACUCGUGGGCCGCAGAGAUGUAGAGGAUAAAAACUCUCAUCCUACAAAGCUUCAAGGACUUGGAAGCUUACCUUUCUUUUCGGCGGCCAAUAGAAACAAAGCCAGAAUCACGUAUGAAUUAGACUAGCUUGAGUUUCCUUUUUCUAGCGGUCAUACGUCUUCUUUUUCGGGGGACAAUUCCUAUCUUUUUAUUCUGACUCCUUAGCCGGCUUUUGGGGAGAGGAAAAGAAACGAUGAAAAAGCUUCGGUCAACCUUCUCUCAAUUGCUUUGCACGGCUUGUUCUCCAUUAAUGGAGAACUAAGUUCUUAUUUCUAGUCAAUGGACAACUGAAGAUUUGGUUCAACAAUAACUGUGAGAUCAAAAUUAUUUUAAUUGUUUCCUUCAUUUAUUGGUAUUUGUAUGUUUUCCGCUUUAAAUUGUUGUUAUAGCUAUCGUGUAUGAUUGAAUAGAUGCGCAAUAUUUAAUUAUUCACGUAGGCUAUUUGCUAGUUAGGGGUAAUUGAAUCCGUAAUUGUUCGUUAUCUCUAUCUCAGUAGCAACUGGCGUAAUUGGGUUUAUGUCAGGGAAACAUACGAUCUAAUUAAACAAACCCUCGUAGCGUGUUUGUUAGUUAGGAUUGGGCCUUUCUAAUUAUUAAUGCAAUCUACAAAUUAAAUCCUACGGUUGUACGUAGGGUUGUUUUCGGGUUAGAGAAAUAGUUAACGGUCGUACCUUGACUAUCGAGAAACUAAGGAAAGGUUGGUUGUUUAUCGCGUGCAUGACAACUAUAACUAAUCUAUUAAUAAAUGUGGAAUUAUCUGUGAAUCGAUGAUCAGUACAUGAACCAUUUUUGAAGUGUACCCUUGACUAGAGUUUCUCCAAUAAUUAUUUCUUUUAUUUAUUUUCUGCAUUUAAUUUAUUUAGUUAGCAUUUAAUCCAACAAUCCCCCAUACUUUGAACUCUAGAAGAAACGAAUUAUCCCCAGUCCCUGUGGAUUCGACCCUACUCACCGCUAUAUACAAAAUCUAUAUUUUUCUCGAAUAGGUAUUUAUUAUUGCACAGGCUCGACCCCUGUCAAAAGACCAGACGAAGAAACAAAAAUGACAAAAACAGCCGAUCAAACAGCACAACAGAAGGAUUAGGAAAAACUGGAAAGACAACAAGAAGCUACUACUACUGCAAAGGAAAUUGUCACCUGAAAGCAGAACUUAGAUCGAUGGAGAAAGAGUCUGAAAGUAGAAAUUACGAUCGAGCUGGAAGUUGAAAGCCAGAGAGCAAGCUCAGCAGAGCUCAAAUCCAGCUUGGGAACUCAGCUCGCAGAAGCCACAACCGAUGACUCAAGUAGAAAAGGGGCGACAACAUCAUGAUUAUCAAAUUAUUCCCUCGAAUUCACCAUUGGAGCAACCAUCAAUGUGGAUCAAGAUGGAAGAAUAGCAUCAAUUUGUAUUGAAAUGUAUUUGUUUUUUGUAAAUUGAACUAAGAAAGUACGGAAAAUUUAAAUUUGAAAAAGCAAGUUCACACACCUACAAAAGGUGAAGUUUGUUCCCUACGUAGAGAGAGAAAGUAACCACCUACAAGAGGGACUCAUUCCUUUUUUUCUUUUUUUUUUUAUGGAAUUUCAUUUUUUUUUUCAAUUUAGAACUUCUAAUUUAUAUGUAGGGUCGUACAAGGGCUUUUUUAUUCAGACUUUUAUCAAUUAUUAUGAAAUUUCCUUGGUUUCUACCAAUUGCUCUCAACUUCCUUCAAGUUUUAAGGUUCAUAUAAAUUUUCGGGGUUUGACCAUGAAUCAUUCCCUUAGUUUUUUUGAGAAUUGUUCGUAAAACAAUUCUUACCACUCACUUUCGCAUUAGUUGGCAUCAGAGUAGGAUUUCGCCUAUUUGUGAGUUAUACCAAUGUCUAGUAACAAAUUCGGAGAUGAAUCUUUUGGCCCACAAACUGAUAUCCAAAUUCAAAAUGAGUGCUUGGAUAUUGAAGCAUGAGAAGACCGAACAAAGGACCUAGUUGGCUCGUAUGCAAGUAUCCCUGGAUUUAGUUAUUCAAUGCUUGAAUCGUUUGGGUAUUGUGAGACAGAACCAGCUGGGUAAUUAGGACAGAAGAGUGCCACUUGACCAAACCUUUGUGAUAAGUGCCUAAUUUAUAAUAUAUUUGUGGCUAUUUUAAGGAUUUUUAAUCUCUUUUUACCUGAAAUCAAGAAUUGAAGUUGAUAUUAUCUUAAAAGUUGAUGUUUGAGUAUUGUUGAUUAAUGAUAGAAUUUUUAUCCCUUUUACUUGUUUAGUCUGGUUGUUUUUAUAGGGAAAAGGGAAAAAGAUUCGAAAGAACUUAGUCGCCAAGUCAAGUGAAGAAAUUGGAAAUUGUCGUGAAACGGGGAGGAGGAACCGGCCAUGGUUUACUUAGCCAGUUCCUAAGCCAGCUGCUGGGUAGAAUGUAUCAACUUUUACUAUGAAAAUUUCAACUUCAUAACUGGCCUUGUAACCGACUGAGUUUCCUCCAAGUGUUAGCCAACUGAAAUUUUUUACUAAGAAAAUGCAACUUGCUCAACUUGUUUUUUGAAGGGUUCUCUUUUUAUGCACUUCAACGAUUGAUAAGACGUAAUUGUGGCUUGGAGGAGAGUACAAUCAUCAUCAAGAAACACCUUUUGCAAUCUCAACUUUUCUUGGUUAUUUUAACUUUCUUUUUUGUAUUUGAUUUCAUAUUCAGUUAUAAUACAAGCAUGGUCUUCUCUUUCAUUUUCUUCAUGUUUCGUUAAGUUAAUGCUUUGAAUUAUGGAUAAAUUUUUUAUAUCUUGUUUGUGACGUUUCCUUGGUUACUUGAUACUAUUAUUUUGAGUAAAUUAUUUAGCACUUUUGCUUUUGUAAUCAAUGAUUAACUAGCCAUUAGUUGUGAUAAUUUCAAGGUGUUAAAUUUGCAUGAGAAUUGAAAUUUAAUACUAGUUCAAAGAAAUGCUAAACUUAGGAAAUACACUCACGAGAGUAGGGACACACUUUUGUGAUUUUGAUGGUUUGUUCCAUGUAAUUUCAUAGAAAAAAGGAGAUUGUAGUUAAUUUCAUAACACAAGAGUAGAUAUGGAUUAACUAUAAGUAUAGUCGAUUUACUACGAGAGUAGAUUUCACAUGUAUUAGAAAAUUAUGCCAUAACUAGUCAAGAUAAUAACAUUUAAUUAAUUGAUAAUUUCACCUGUAAGAGAAGUAAAGAAUUCUAUAACCCUAAGAGCUUUCUAUUGUCAUUUUUGGUACUGUUAUUUUAUGUUUGUAGUGUAGAUUUAAUUUUCUUGUAUUUGUGAUAGUCUAAAUAAUAAAGAAAUUUAAAAAUUAUUGGUAAUUCACAAUCUUUCCUAUGAAAUCGACACCUCAUAUCCUCUAUAUUCGAUAAACAAUCUGUAUACUUAUAGAAAACAAGGUGUUUAGCUUUUAUUAAAAUUAGUGCAUGGUAGAACCUCACUAAGUUUAUCACACCGUUGUCAUGAAAGAUUUGGUUCAAUAUCAAUACUAAGAACAAUUUUAUUAGUUUAGAUAUUUUUACUUGUUUUUCUUGUAUUUAUUUUGUCAAGUUUUUUGUUUGUUGUACUUAGUGGCUUAUUGAGUUUUUUAUCUUGUGUUAAAUGUCUUGUUUUUGUUUGUGUCUUUUAAAUUAUUCUUCUUGACUAAUUUUGCCUUUUAGAUUGCUUGAAAACACUUUUAGGUUCUAAGGAGGAUAGUAAACAAACGUAGAUAAAAUUUUGAGAGAAAAAAGUUCAGAAAUGUACUACAAUUUUAAAAAUUACAACUAUGGAUGUAAUCAAAAGAUAUCCGAAGGUAUGUCUUUUAAAGAUGAUUUAAGUAAUUUAAAGGUUAUCAAGAUUAAUUAAAUUUUUAAAAUUUUCUAAAAAAUCUUUUAUGUGUUUAUGAAUUAGACUUUUAAAUUAUGAAUAAAAUUGUAACUAAUGCAUGAUAGUUUCUUUUCAUUUCCUUUCUUAAUCCAUACAAAAUGAAUGGAUUUUGGUUUUCUCUACUCUCCUUUUCUUUUGUAUUAGAAUUCUCUCCUUUCCUUCAAUCCAAACAGAGCCUUAGGGUUUUGUCAAAUUGGCUAGUAUACCGUGAAGACGCAGACAUUCCAAAUGUCUACAUCUAUUGGUCCAAAUCACAUGUGGUCUCCAAUUUGUAUCUUAGGUGAGCAAAGAAGAAUCUCGUCUAUUUGUCCCCUCUAUUAUUUAUGGUUUCAAUUAUGGCUGUACUUCGGGGAAUACUGUCAGUGUUUUUUUAAUUCGGAGCUGAUUGAGUAGUUCAACCGGUUUGAUCGAGAAUGAGGUCAUUAUUCAAUCCGAAUUAUUCACAUAAAUCGAGCAAUUAUUGCCCCAGUAAAAGAUUCAGUUUGAUGGGGAAAUCAGGUUCUUCAAUUUAUUUUUUAUUUUUUUUGGUAACCCGGAACAUGCCUGACUCGAACUCUUAGGAUCCGAGUCGGCACAUCAAAUCGGAAGAGUGCGCCACGGCCUCACGCAGCGACCCUGGGCGAGUCACAGGGGUUUAAAUAUAAGAUAAGAUUCAAACCCAGGACCUUAAGAAUUCUUAAAAGCUCGCUUACCGCUGGACUACUAGCGAGGGCGUAGGUUCUUCAAUUUUCUUUCAUACUUCUUUGUAUCUUGAUAAUUUAUAUACAUAUUUAUAAUAUUAUGGUAACUUCAUUCACUUUCAUUUUUUUUAAUUACGAAUUACGAUACAAUCAAUCAAACCUCUCAAACCCAGCGGAACAUUUGUCAAUUAUUCCUUAUGCCCUGCUUUCGUAUCCCCCCUUCCCCCAGAUAGUUACACACUCCUUUUAAUUUAUCCAUGCAUCUUUAUUUACCAAAAAAGAUAAAAAGUUUUUGAUAAGGAAACUCAAUUUCUCAAUUGAUAAGCUUGAAAAGAAUUUCAUGGGUUCACGAUCAUCUUGUAGUAUUCAUGUCGGGAACCACUUCUGAAGGGUUUUGUUUUUGUUAGUUCGGUGGUAAGUUUCGUUAAUAACAGGCAAGUCAACUUUCUGCAAAAAGAUAAUUUAGCACAGCCUGACUGGUACUUACAUGAUCUGAAAACCGGUAGGUGAGUUCAGGGUUGGUCUGGGAGAGUUGAUAUAUUUGACGUAGAUUCAUCAGAAGUUUGAUAUGUUGAUGAUCGUACACAACGUAAAAUAGUAGAUAUACAGAUCAAACACAUACAACUGAACCAUUAAAAAUACUCGAUUCCCCUAGUAGUAGUACCUUUACAUUUGGAGAAUAUUACACUGACAUAAUUGAUAAUUAAUACAACCAGAAGAAACGAGACUAAACAAAGGAUUUAUUCCAUUAUGGCAAGAUAAUUAAUAGAAGUCCCAGGCUGCAGAAGACCACACACAAAACAUCAAAGCGACAAAUAUUGAUCACUCGUGGGAUAUCAACAAGCUGCUGCUGCGGAAUAUUUAGUGCUUUGGAACCCAGACAAUGUGAUCCCCGGGAAGGAAAUGGCAGAUUGGAACAGCUCCAGGCUUCACCUUGAGCAGUUGAAAAGCCAAAUGCCUGGGGUCCCAUGAAGAUGUGUCCUUGUGACAAACAACCACAGCCUUGACUUUUGCUCCAUCAGCACCAACCAAGUUAACCAUAUAAGCAUCGAUGUUCUGGAAGCUGUGGCAGUAAAAAACCGCGUAGACAUAGUUUUGCUUGUGACAAGCAACCAAUUCAUCAUCAACGAUUGCUUUAUCAUUGUUCAACUUGGAAACAUCCACAAUACCAUAUUUUUGGAUUUUUCCUGCAUUUUUUGGUGCUUCAUUUGAAAAUGCUAGAACAUUUUUGCCCAGCUUUGAAGUAGUGAAAUCGACCAUCGACUCGAGAGAUGUCGCACAGUACUUGUCUUCCCCUUCAAUUGCAGGCUCCUCGCAUUCUGCUAUGGUUUUCUUGAUAGCUUCGGAUUGGGCUGAAUGUGGGUUCACUGAGAAUUUAUUCAAAAUUUCAGGAACAGAUUUGGAUGAGAAGGGAGUGGAAUCAGCCACCUGGCGGGGUAGGAAGGCCGGAGUAUCAUUCACUGAUUCAAUGAACUGCAUAUUCACGCUUGAGCCGCGAUGGAGGUCCUUUUUCAAGAAGAAAGCUGUUACUUUUUGGUGAUAAUGGAGUUGGUCUUCAGUAGGACUAUAAUGCGCAGUGAAUCUAUAUAUUCUCAACGGGAUUCUGUCUGGUCUUACGCUGAAACUGGCACCUCCCGGGGGCUUUCCUGUAGUUAAUUGAUGAGCAACAAGAUGAAAUACCAAAUAUUUUGAGGGACCAAAUUUAACAUUUUUAAAUAGAAAAGCUUCACAGUUUUGUGAGGUAUGACUUUAAAUUUAUAUAAAAUAUAUCUAAAUUUUUUUACAGCUUAGACCCUCUAAUUGUGGCAAGUAUUGGGAAUGGUUGUGAGUUGUGACAUCUGCUGGACCACUAUAUUUGUAUGAUCUUCUGAACUAAAUGCAGUGUAGACAAUCACUUGUGCAUGAUUAUGUAAAAUUCAAGAUAUUUUACUCAUUUUGUCGGUAAAAGCUUUUACACAGUGCAUGAAUAUGAAAUAAUUAUAAAACAUUUAGCCAAAUUCUUUUUUUUUAUAAUUAAAUAUUAGAUUUUUCUAACAGAUACCUAAUCGGCACCCCAUUUAUUAUAUAUAUACUACUAACAGUUGUUAUACUCUUUUACAUUUAAGCCCAUCCCUAAACUUAACUUUAUUUUUUAAAAAAAGUUAAUAGAUUAACUCAAUCUUAAUGAAUGUCCACUCUCGUUGGACAAACCCUUAACUCUUUUACUCAUUUCAUUAUUGGUCGUUGAAUGGGAAAAUUGAAGUAUAAAGACCAGAUUUAUUGUGUUUGUCAGCAUAAUUUUGUGAUUUUUUUUUUUGGUUUUCCCUUUAGUGAAACUAUAAAUUUGUGGUGUAAAUUUUCUCAAAAUUCUUUAGCUUUUGAAAUUGGUUUAGUAUCUAUUAAAACCCUUGAAAUCUUGGGGAAACAAACAGGAAAUUUAGCAAGCAAUAGAAGAAGCGGAAUAAAUAAUAAAGAUUGGAAAGGAGCACUUCUCGGACAAACCAUUGCGUACGAUAUCUCUGACAGCUUUGGGCAUCGGACUGGUUGGAAGCUUGGAUUUCCAAUAAACUUCGAGAUCUGCAUGCUUUGCUCCAACUCCUGUCUGGUAUAAAUUUCACGAUACCCAAAAAGAAUAUAUCAGCAAUUAAGUUUCCAGGCUGCCCAAAAUGCAAGCAAAUUAUCACGAAGUUAAAAAUUAAGAUAGCCUGUAACUUUGAAAUAUAUAUAUACACACACACUCACAGAAACAAGUGUGAGAAAGUAGAGGAGCUUGAGCAAGUCCAUAAUACUUAUGCCACAGUAGAAUUCGGCUAUGUAAGGCUGAGUGAAGAGAUACUAAAACCAAAAUGUUGAUGUGAGAUAGCUCAAGAACCUUGGCAGCAGUAUUUAUACAAGUGCAAGAGCCACAGUGGCUUGCUAAAUAUUUGAGAGGGGAAAAGUUUUGACAUGAUUAAUACUGCAUAGUUGAGCAUUUAAGGGUCUGUUUGUUUGAAUUGAAAAAAUUUUUUAGAAAAUGUUUCCUCAAUUUGUGCUUUUUAACUCAUUUAAAACCACAGAAAAUGAUAUCUCUUGGUAAAAUGUUUUGCAUAAGUGUGCGUAAAUAAUUCCGGUUACAAGCUAAAUAAUUCCAGUUAAAAUGUUUUGCAUAAGAGUGGUUGAUAUGGUGACGAACUGAAUUAAUUAUUCAUCAAGACGGGUAUUUUCUAGAAGGAACCGAACACAUGAAAAUUAGAAAGAAAAGAAGAAAUUUUUUUCCAAAAGAUGACUUCCAAUGAAAUUAGUUUCCCAGUGAAAAUCAUUUAUAUGGUGCCGAAUAGAUCCUUAGUCACUGUACCUUUCAAUUUUCAUGAUAUGCAUCAAUCACUACAAGAAAAUUGGUCAUCAGUGAUAACUUUUCUCUGUGACGAAAAAAAGUUGUCACAAAAGUGGAUCCUUUAUUGAUGACUUUCUAACUCGUCACAAACCUCUAAUGGGAGCCAACUCAUUUGUGACACUAGUAAAUUCCCGCCAAGUUUUAGCAAGAGCGCGGGAGUGUUUAGAACACACAAUAGUGACGACAUUAAGAACAUCAUCACUAUUGCUUGGCCUAUUUACGGACGACUUUUUGUUGUCGUCACUGAUCACUAAAAAAAAAAGUUAUUAGUGACAACAUUUUGUAGUGAUGAAUUGUAAUUUUUGUCUUAAUAAUCUAAGUCUCAUUACUUGUUCUUUAUUAUUGUACUCCUCCCCUUACCUAUUUCUUUUACUCUUUUAUGACAGAUAAAUGCUAUUCAUACUAGUUUUUGGAAGAUAUCUAUGGUUAUGGUUGAAGAAUGUUGAAGACAAAAUUGCCUUUUGCUCAUGGAGUGAUUCAUUUAGAUGUUCUUCAAUUUCUUAAACUAUGAUUGCUUUUGUAAAUGUACCUUAUGUACAAGUGAUAUUUUGGACAAAUGUUAUUUUUGUAGGCAUUAGUUGGGCAAUGUACACUUGAAUUUGGCAUUUGAGAAUGCUAUAUUAUUACCAUGUAAUCUAAUGCAAAUACUUUUGGUUAUCAAUCGUUCAUGUUUAUUUGUAUGGUUUGUUUAAAAUCAAUGAUUUAGCAAUGAUUACAGGCCAAAUUAUGACUAUUAAGCUAUUAUGAAAUUAUCUAAUGACAAAAAAAAGUUGUCACAAAAUAGAAAAUAAAAACUCCUUGUCACAACAGAGACUGUCACUAAAUCUAAGUUACAUUUGUGACGACAAUUGUUGUCAGUAAAAUAGUUAUAUACAAUGGCUUUCGGUGCUUUUUAGUGACGACCUUAAGUAGAGCAUUUUUGACAAAAGGUCAAUUCGUCAAUAAAACACUUCCAGAUUGUCGUCACUAAUGACAACUAUUUAGUGACGACCUCAAAAAUGCUCUACUUAAAGUCGUCACUAAUGAGAACUAUUUAGUGACGACAUUUUAGGUCGUCACUGUUUACUUUUACCGACGGGGAUUUAGUGACGACUUUGUGACGAUCAAAAAGUCGUCAAUAAAAGGUAUUUGUGACGAUAUUUGUAUGUUCUGUGAUGAUUUUGUGUUGUCACUGAUGAACAAUUUUCUUGUAGUGAAUGGAGUAUUUUUCAUAAUAGUCAUUAUCACAACUCGGGUCCAAGGAUUGGUCCAAGUAUUUUUUGGAUCGAAAUUCACUGAAUCAAAAUAGUUAACCCAAAUUACAAGAUAGCUAUUGGAUCCAAGCUUUAAACUCAUUCCCUUCCCUUCCCUUUCUCAAAUUGAUAUGGAAUACCUUAUUCUCCCCACCUUCAAUACUUUGAAGUCCUAGCAAAAUUGAUAUUGGAUCUAGAGGUGACUUCCGUCGAACGUAGUAGUACUUAGCCCCACACAACACUUAGCUCUUUACGUGGUUCGCUUUGAUACCAACCAUCAUGACUCAGGUCCAAGGAGUGGCACAAGUAAAUGAUUAACCCAAAUUACAAGAUAGCCAUUGGACUCAAACUUUAAACCCAUUCCCUUCCCUUUCUCAAAUCGAUGUGGGAUACCUCAGUUAUCAUCUUGCCUACAGUUGAAAAAGUUUAGCUGACAUGAUCUCGUAAAUGAAUGAUUGGCAGAAGAUAGUAUGCAACAUUCUAAAAAUUUGAUUAAAAACCGUAUAAUUUUUUUAUUUCUAACUUUUUUUCUAGGCCAAGUUUAACCAAACAGAGCAUAAGUGUAUCGACAUAAUAUGGGACCUAUUUGGCACCUAAGUUUUUUAAGUAGUUUUUCUUCUACAAGCUUUUAAAAAUUUUAGAUGAAUCUUAAAAAACUUACCAAAAUUUUUAAAAAACAUAGCUCAAAAUAACUAAAAAUAGACAAAUUUUUUUUUCCUUCUUUUCUUUCUUUUUCUUCCUCCCCACACCUAGAUCCAUCACCAUAUCUACAAUCGGCCUAUGCCGAUAGGCACUAGCAUCACCGCCAGUGCCUCUAUCUCUCUCCCUCUCUCCUUCUUUCUUUCUUUCCUUUCUCUUUGUCUCGCUCCCUUUCCUCCUCCCUUCCUCCCUCUUCCUCCUCUCUUCUCCUCCCUUCCCCUACCAUCCUCUCUUCUCCGUCUCCCUUCACUGGACCUGUCCCCUCCUCUUCCCCUACCGGUCACAUGACCAGUAGGGAAGGAGGAGGGGGUCGUAGGAGAAGGAAAGGAAGGAGGAGGAGAAAAGAGGGAGAAGGAGAGGGAGAAGGAAAGGGAGGGAGGGGGAAGAAGAAGGAGAGAAGAUUAAAAAAAGGAGGUGGGGAUGGAGUUGGCUGGCACCGAUGGCAGAGGGCGUGGAAUGGUGGUAGUGGUCGACAGUGGAGGGAGUAGAGUAGUGGUUGUGGUGUGGGAGGGAGGAGGGAAGAGGAAGGAGGGAGAAUUGGGGGGGGGGGGAAGAGAGAAAGAAAAAGAAAAAAAUUUGAAGAAAAGAAAGUUUUUUUUAUACAUUUCUUAAAUACCUAACUAUACAUAAGUUUUUUCACAAAUUUUACAGUAAAUUACAACAAAAUUUUAUACAAACAACUAAAAAACUCACCAUUUAAAUGGGGUAUUGGAUAAUCAAAUCACCCUUCUCAUAUUAGGGCAAAGUUCAAGUUAUUUCCAUGAUUUCCAGUGUGUUUCUCUUGGAUCCUAUCUCUCUCAUAUAUUAAUUGCUCCAUUUGUUUUGUACUUGAUGUUCAUUUGGGGUAUAAGUUGGGCGAAUAAAAGAAUAAUUAGAAGGUGAAUAUAGGAACAGAUAUCUAUUACAAGGUUGCAGAAACCCUCAGAAGGACCCUGCAGGUGAUUAUCUUGCAAAAAAGGUAGCCCCUAGGGGAUAUCUCUUAUAAUUUCAAGAUGUGAUGAUAAGGUUAGAGCAAUGGGAAUUAGCACACUGAUCAUUCGGACUUACGUUGGGAGCAUUGUUUAAGGUUUCUAUCAAUUGAUUAUGAUACGUGAAGACUAGACACUUCAAAUCACAAGAGCAACGGCUAAUUCCAAUUUUCACUCUUCAACUAUAUUUGUAUUUUCACUUUAAUUUCUAAAUUUUAAAGUGGAAUACUUUAUUCCUUAAAAAAUAAAAUUUGUCUGCUUAAGUAAAAUGGUUGACGGAAAUAGGACAUAUUUUAUAUUUAAGCGAGAUGCAUCUUAUGUUUUAAGAACUAAAGUAGAACAAAUUUUAUUCAUAAGUAGGAUACUUUUUUUUUUAUAUAUAUUUUUAGAACUAAAGUGUGACAAAUUUUACUUAAAUUCAAUAGAUUUUAUGUUUUAGCUAUAAAAGUAUCUCAUUUUCAAGUUUAGGUACCAAACUAGGUAUUCAACUAUAGUUAAACGGUGCAACAUAGAAUUAACUCCAAGUGGAAUUUUUAGUUAUCUGGAAAGAGGAAUCUUUUAUAAAUCAGUCCCCUCCUUGUUGGUGGCUUAAAUUGAACACGGCAGGCUGCUAGUGCCAAUAAUGCAUUUAACAUCAUAAUCGCUAAUACGGACAGACGGUGGUGGCCGGGGUUGGCAUUUGGUGGGAUAGUUGAUAGUGCCACUGGCGUGCUUCAAUUUGCCGCCAUGACAGUGCCAUCGCAGCCGCCCUACUCUAAAAGAAAAGGAAAUGAAAAUAACUAAAAAUAAUAAUAAAUUCGUAAUGAGUAAUAACAAGUUGUAUUGCUGAAGAGAACUUGGUCGAAUAGUUAAGUUGAGAUCCUCCUUCUUCUUUCCUAUUUCUUAAAUCCCAUUCAUCUCCUGUUAAAAUAUUUUGAGAAAAUAGAAAAACAAAUUGUAUUUUUUGUGUAGUCGAGUUGAACAAAAAGCUAAAUAGCUUAGCUCGAUAUACUCGCAAACAAAAGUGAAGAGACUUUUUGAAACUACAGGGAAAUUAUGUUGCAAAAUAGACUUUUUCUUUUAAAUAUCUUACUAUCGGAAAGAAAUAUACUUUUUUUUUCUUUUCUUCUUUUUCCUCUGUUUUCGAAAAAGUAGUGUUAAAUUAAACCAGCAUGGCAUCAAGUCAGUUUUAGCAAUCAAUAGCACUUAAAUGGUCUCAUGAUUAGGUGUGUCAAUUGAGAUUUUUGAGCUGGACUUUGGUAAGCCCAAGCUCAACUCACAAUAAAAAUAAUGUGUGUUUCAAUAGCAAUUUUUUUAUCAAAUAUUAUUUUACUUGCAUCACAAUUAUAAUUUUCAAUCAACUUUGUAUGUUCCUAAUAACUUUUUUUUUAUCUCACAUACAUCACAUCAUAAAAAGUAUUAUAAUAAUUAUUUCAAAUAAUCUCCCAUCUAAAAACACUCAUCAUAAUUUUGUUAAAAUUUGCACUAAUAACAGAAGUUACAUUAUCAAUCAUACACCAAUAUCAAAUAACAGAUCUAAGAAGUACGGAGAUUACAUAUUUGAAGAAUAAAUAAAAAUUAAAAUAAAAUACUUUUAAAUUGAAGAACAUUUGUGCAUGCUUCCAAUCCAAAUGAAGAUGCUUUAAUCUAGUGUAAAUUUUGUUGAAAAAUAGGGAAAAUGAAAUAAAAUGUUCAAUUUGGAAUGAAACACACAUGCAAUUAUCACUAUGUAGAUUCCAUAAUAACUUGGCCUAAUAAUAGAGUAGGUAAAAGUUCGCCCGUUAAAGGAUUGCUGUUAUUAUGGUAGAUUAACUUGCAUAAGAAAGAAAAAGUUUUAUAUAAAAACAUGGAUACAUAUGCCGAGGAGGCUUUGGUCUAAUGGUUAAAAUCAAAACUCUAGAAAUUAGAGAUUCUCGGUUCAAAUUCCUUUGCCCCUCCCCCUUCUUAAGUCGCACCUCUUCCCUGCUGAUGGAAAAGUUUUUUUUUUUUAAAAGUGUAAAACAAAAAGCCUCCUGUGGUAUAGCUAUCUUACAGAAAAAUCCCUUGCGAUUUCAAAUCAUACGUGUCGGUACCUCAUGAUUUGAAGUAAUUUGAAACAUUGACGGAAAUCGUUAAAACAAACGGUUUUGAGUGAAAUGACAGAACUGCCUUAAUAAUAUAAGCAAAAAAUGGCCUAAAAUAAACCGUUUUUGAUUCAUUACUUUCAAUCACUAAUAAUAUAAGCAAAAAUCGUCGAUUUCUACAAGUUUGGAGCAAAUUUGAAGAAGAAUCAUGGUUGUUUUUUUAAGGUACGAGGGGGAAAAUAGGUAUUUCAGGUCAAAAUUGGCUUAAAAAACUAUUUUUUAGAAGACCACACACAGUUCCAACGUGUCUACAUCAAACGCUAAAUUUAACUAUUUUCAUUAAUUUUUCACUUUAUUUUAAAUCAUGAGGUACCAACGUGUGUGAUUUGAAACUACAAGGGAUUUUUCUGUAAGAUAGCUAUACUACAGAGAGCUUUUUUGUUAUUUGUCCUAAAAAAAAUGGAUACAGAUAGAGGUCAGGUUCGGUCCAGAAGGUUGAUGUAUGUGUUGUAGAUUCAUCCAAAAGUUUGGCAUAUUUUGUUAUAGGAUCUAUUUUGCAAUCAUUCAACGUAAAAUAGUACACAAAAUUUGUACAUCAACCAUCAAUAAUACUCAUCGAGUACCUUUACGGUUGAGGAAAUAUUACACCGACAUAAUUGAUACUACAACUGGCAGAGAAGAGACUAAACAAGGAUUAACUUAUUUAUGGGUAGAUAAUCAGUCGCACUCCCAAGCCAAGCUGAUAUUGUCUACUUAAGAGGGGGAUUAUAAGUUCAAAUGGUUUUAUAUUUGAUAUUGUCUACCAGUUUAAAAAGGUUUAAGUCAUAACUAAGUAUUGUUGGACUGUCAUACUAAUAGCUUAGAACUAACUUGGAACCACCUGAAGGGAUAUAAAUUUCUAUCUGAGUUGUAAACUUGUAAUUUGUAAGUCUUGAAGGUCUUGAUCUUACACAUUUGAAUUUAAAAAAUUUGAAGUGGGUGCCACUACACCCUUCUAAUCUAAACGGGCCCCAUAUAUAACACAGUUGGGGGUAAUAUAUGUGCUCCCAAUUAUUAAAAAGCAAACAAAAACCUUACCAGCAUUUUGGUCCUAUGUGAGGGCCACAUCUAAUGUGAGAUUGUCCUUAAGCAUAGGUCCAUACUACAAUUUACAAGGAUUCAUGACUUGAUGUCAAGAGGGUUGAAUUAAGACUACUUUCUUGUAUGCUUAAAAAAAAGACUACUUUCUUGUACACCAAACAAAAUGUCGAAAAAACAUAUUUUCUAAAAAGUUUAUUGGGAUGAUUUGAACCCAAGGCUUGGCACUACCUGGACUUUUCUAAAGUGCUGUAAAUUUUUUUUGUUUGGGAUAUUCACAGCAAUGAUGGCUGGAUCACCUCAACCUACUUUAAUUUGCAGCCUGCCGACUUUUCUGCCCUGCCUUAAAAGAAAAGGAAAUUAAAAGUACUUAGAUAUUAAGAAAUGUCAAAUAAGAAACUUUACCUCUUGUGCAGUCAAAUUGGACAGAAAGCAGCUUCGCUCUAACCUAAACUAGAAGAAAGUAAAGUGACUAUUUUGAAACUACACAGAUUGCAAAAUCUUAAGUAAUAGAUUACCAAAGGAAAUUUACCAUCUAUUUCUUUUUCGUUCUGCUGAAAGUAGUUUAACCAGCAUGAUUUCAAGCCACAGUACUCAACACAACUUGAAUAGGCUCACGGCGAUGGAUCCCUUCGUGGACUUGACUCGAGUACGCAGCAGGUUCAGUGCAGUGAAGGGUUAAUCCAAGGAAUUAUAAGGAGAAAGUUUCAUUGAGUUCCUCACUCCACCACCAGUUUAGCAGUUACUCUUCACCUUCAGCGUCUCUGAGUCUGGCUCAUUUGUUUAUCAAUUUUGUUUGUUAUUCUGUCAGGCGCACAGAGUCUGCUGAAGUCAAGUCCAACGAGGAGUCCAUUAUCUUGAGCCUAGCUACUGUCUUCAAAUGAGCACAUUUUUUGAUGAAUUAUUUCAUUUUUAUCUGUCAAAAUAUAUAUAAUCUUUUAUGUAUGAAGUUGAAACUACUAAUUAAGUUCGUAUAUUUUCAAAAGUUAUCUUCUUAAACAUAUAAAACCAUUAUAUUCAUGUAAUUAGGAAUACGAAAGUGAUACUUGAACUCCCAAAUUACUCUUUUGCAUUCGCUGAUGGCAUUUCAUUGAGUGAAUAGAUUAAUGUUAGAAAGGCUAACAUAGGAAUGCGAAUAUCACUCAUCACUACAAGAAAAUUACCAUUUAAUGACACUCAAAAAUGCCUCUUUUUGUAUGUUUUAGUGACAAUUUUUAAUCUAAUAGCAUUUCCCCCGAGUGUUGGCAAUAUCACUGCCACUAUAGUCUAGUGACACUUGAAAAGUGCCACAAAAGAGUUACUAUGAUAACAUUUUAACAUUUCAUUGUACUAGGGAUAUGUGUCAUGAGAAGAUGCCACUAUGUCAUUUUUUUUGGGUGUUUGCGAAUGCCAACAAUUUAAGUUUUGAUACAACUUUAAAUGCCACUAUUUAAAACUUUCCUGUCACUUUGAAAUGCCACUAAAAAAUUAAGAAAAUAAAAAAAUAAUUUGAAAUUAAAAAUCAAAGUACUCUUAUUGAUCCGGGUAAUUAAUUACAACUCAAGAAAAUGAAAGUUUCGCCAUUUAAACAAGUCACUAACUAAUAAAUCUAGUAAGAAAUUAUAUGACAACAAUAUAAACAAAUUCAUGCAUUUUACAAAUGAAACAUGUCUAAAGACAUUAAUCUUUUAAGCUGAUAACUUGGAAAAGAUCAUGUCUUCUUUGCUUCAUUAAUCUCUCAAAUGCUAUGUAAUCUGCAUUUAAACAAUACAAUGAAUAUAUUACCUCUUCUCAAGGAUUAGUUAGUAAAAAUAUUAACUCAACUCAAGAUAUUAGCAAUAGUGGUUGAAAAAUUAACAAUGAUCAAAGUGGGAAGUAAAAUGGGGCACCUUGAACUUGCCAUAGAGAUACUAAAGUGACAGGUUGUCGAACCUAUGCAAUAAUAAAUACCUGCUCAAACAAAAGUUAAUUUCUGCAGAUAGUGAUAAGUAGGGUCAAAUCCAUAGGGACUGGGGAUAUUUGUCUCUUUUGGAGUUCAAACUAACAAUGGGGGGUUUUUUAUAGCAAUGACAAUGAUUAAACAGUUCGAAUAAAAUCAAAUAGCUAACUAAAAAGUAAACGACAAGUCACUAAAAUCAGAUUAAUGAUAACUAAAGUUCUAGCCAAGAAAUAACUUUAGCAAUGGUUCACCUAAUUGAUCAUCAAUGCAAAGGCAAUUCCAAUUAUUUACUAAUAAAUAGGUUAUAACUGCCAAACAAGCGAUGACAGUCAACCCUUCCUUACUGUGUCGGUGAUUAAGGUAUACCCAUUAACCACUACUCUAAUUGAGAAAUAAUCAUAGGUACGCCCGUAAGAUUUAAUUCUCUAAUUGUCUUACGUAUUAGUGGAGUCCUGUUCUAACCAAAUAACGCACUACCAGGGUUAUUUUAUGUUAGCCCGCGUAUUCCCCUGACACAAAUCCAAUCAUGCUAGUUGUCACUAUUUCAGGGCAAUUAAACAAUUACAGAUUUAAUGCCCCAUUUGACAAUAGAUUACUAAAUUAACUAAUUAUCUGGAUCCAAGACAAUCAAUUAAUUGAAUAACCAUGAACACUAUAAUAAGAGAAUAUGCGAAUAUCAAUAAAUAAAAGAAAAAGAUAAAAUUAAAUCGAUCUCACAAUUUUUAGGCGAAUCAAAGCCUCAGUUGUUCCUUGACUAGAAAAGGGAGUUUUGUUCAUCUUUAACGAAUAAAGCCCACAGGAGAUCGAAGCAACCGUAGCAGCCAUUGACUCCGAAAUUGAGAAAAUUCAAUUCGGUUCAGCAAUGAAGAAAAAGUCAAGAUUACAAAGAAUGCCCAAUUGCUUUUCUUUGCCUUCACAUCUGAUGGAAGCAAAAGCACAAUAAGAUGAAAAGAGGAAAAGUCAAAAGAAAAGCUAAGCUAGAGGUCCUACCAUACGAAGAAAGAAAAACUACCCAAGAAAAGUCAAUAGAAAGCUAUUUAAUAUCUAGUUCCUACUGCUACUGUCCGGCGUCCGUGGCCAUGAAGAGACCGAAGAAAACUCUAGCCUUUUUAUCCUCUUUCCAUGUUGUCUUCCGCCGUUACCAAAGAGGGUCGCAUCCUCAUAUUUCAAAAAUGCCCCUGGACGCCUGCUACUUGAAUUCUUUUCCGAUGACUGUCAAAUUGGCCUUGGUUGUGGUAUUUUCAUUCUACUCCCUAAAAUAAAUGUAAAUUACGAAAAGUGAGUAGAGUCUAAUAACUGAUUCACAUCAAGUCAGGUAAUAGGGGAAAUUAACAAUAAAAUAAAUGAUAAAAUAGUAACCUAUCAAUUCCCCCCCACACCUAAUGAUGCGAACCCGAAUCCCCAAGCUCCCGCUCUUGAAGAAACGAAUUGCACAGGCAGCGGAAGGAUCUAUUUUGAUCAGGCUAUGGACAAAUUUGGUGGAUUCUAAACCAAUCAAGGACAACUCGAGAUUGAUUAGAAGGAUAGAAGGCGCCACAAUCCAACAUGGUCUUGAAUUGAUAAGCCAGUUUGAAUCCCCGAGGCCAACUCUAAGGUAUUGAAAGUUGCUUCAAAGAAGCCAAGAGAAAACUCUCAAUUUUUAAUUCAUAAAAAAUGUCCCCCCUUUAGUCUUACAAAGCUAGGCUAUUUAUAGGCUAAAGGUAACACAAACCCUAAAGAAACCCUAAGAGAGGAGUCGGCCAUCUUGACUCCAAGAUGGGCUGGCCCAUGCCUUCUACUAAGCAAAUAGUCCAACUAAACAAGUAAUAACGACUAAGGCCCUACUCGGCCGACUCACAAGGAGGCCCACUUGAUUCUUCAUGAGCUUGGAUCAAGGUGUUAGUUACUUGAUUGUCUCUUUCUAAGCCUUCAAUAUCUUUAUGGGCUUCGUGUUGGUCUUGGAUAACUCGAACGAGGGGUUGGAGGGAUUCUUUGAAGAGCUUGGCCCGUGCACGUGUGACUGGGCCUUAUGGGACUCGGACUGGAUCAUUGCGUGGGCUCCGAUCCAUGCACACAUCAGUGAAUUCCUUGUUUUUGACUCUAUUCAUUGGCCCCCAAUGAAUCUUUGUUGGAUCUAGAGAUAGAGCAUGAACACCUACUAGGGUUCGUAUCAUUCCCUUCCUCUUAAAUAGAUUUGUCCUCAAAUUGUAGGACCGCUUAAAUUGCAAUAAUGAUGGAAACACGUGGAUGAUCACAAUCCUAGUGGCAUGGUGUUUGGAUAACCUCUUGAUGCUCACGAACUCCAAUGAUGCAUAAAACUCAACUUUCGGUGGUAGCAACAUGAUGGAGUCAGCAAUCGUGUCUUUAUGUAGACAAGGAGAUGAUGGCAACGAAGAACGUAAGAGCAUCAAUUGGUUGGAAACCAUGGAUGAAUGGAAGCUGGAAAAGUCGUGGACUGCUGCUGGUUUUGGAACAUCAAACUUGACUGGAACAAGCAUAAAAUCUGGUUGUACUCCUUUAAUCAAUGCUGGAAAAUUUCGGACAGCUUUACAACCUACAAAAAUGAAAUAAGUUUCAUCUUGUUUUGAACCAGCAAUUGGAUAAAGAAGCAAUGGAAUAUCAUUAGCUAAAUGGUAAGAAGGUAUAGCACAAGAUUUGAAUGUGAAAACUCCCUUUGACACUUCAUUAUCCCUUCCUUCAACCAAUUCAACUAGACAAGUCAUUGCUGGCUCUUUACACUUUCCAUCAAAAUCUACAUAAGGACGACAAGAAUUAGGACUAGUCAUACGCUCAAAAUAAGGCAAAGAGGAUGAAUGAACCAUAGGUAAAGAAUGGGAAGUAAAAUCUGGAAUUCCCCCUUUAAGAUAAACUCGAGUCAAUCCUCUGAUGGUGCGGACAGAUUCGAAGUGACAUUGGUCCAUGAAUUGAUACCAAAGAUAUUUAACUCCUAGAUGACAAACUCCAUGGAAACUCGCAAAGUGUCCAAGUGACUUUGGAAUGGAACAUGCCAUGACCAACUCUACUUGACUUUGUUUAAUCUGCACCAAAGAAGAAAUACUAAACAAAACACAUGUUAGCUUGAUAGAAAACAAAACGUUCGCACUCUUGACUUUUGCAAACAUGGCCAACUCUCCCUCCUUAUUCUUCACUAAGACCGAAUUACUCCCGCCGUUUUCCACUCUAUUACCACCAAUUGACACUUGAUUAAGUUGCUCAAAGUAUGAAUUCAUCACUUCCCUGAUUUCUCCCAUCAUAGAAUCAACCAAUUCUUUAGUCCGACUCCGGAAAUCUUUCUUUGGUUCACAAGGCUUUGUCUCAAUCCGAGAACUCUUAGAUUCCUUGACUCGUUUGUCAUGACACCCCUUAGAUGAAUCUCGUUUGCUUGAGGAUGACCUUGACUUAGAUGCUUGGCGCAAACGUCUUUGGUCCUCCUCAUACGCAUCACAAGUACGUUUAUAUCUUUCAUUUACACACAAAGCACGGUCACGUUCCAUCUCCUCCCGAAGUGAACGAAACUCAUGUUGUGAACUAGAUUGCAUGGAACUAGAGUACUUGGAAGCAGUUUGCUUGGAACCCCUCCUCUUAAGAGGCUCAUUCUCCAAGAAUUCUUGAUUAUAUGAGUGAGAUACAACUCCACUUGGCAUGAUUACGUGACCUGCAAAAAUGGUUAGCAAAGAAAAGGAUUUCCUCACAACACACAAGCUCACGUAUGUACACUCAACCCUCGUGUAUCAUUCAAGCGUAUAACACUCUAAUGGUCUCACCAAAUUUCUCAAGGCCUCUUAUUCACGUUCCUUGAACAAAUUAGAAUUUACUCAAGGAUCGCAACCAACUAGUCAAUUAAAAAUCACAAAAGUAGCAAUGAAGUUCAUGGAUUUUGAAGGAUAAUAGCAAACUGACUUAGAAAGAUUUAAAUGACCCAAGUACUGUUGUAAACAACUCUAGAUGAUCGACAAAAGAGACAACUCACAACUCAAACGCUGAAAUUUUGGAAGCCUAGAAAGACUCCUACCCGACAAACUUGGAUUUUGGGCUGCUGUUGUUACCGAGUUCUGGUCAGUAUUUUGGAUGGCAGAUGGUGCUUUUGGGAAGGUCAAAUCACGUGAGAAUCGGUCCUCAAUUUCCAGCCAAUUUGGGUCACAAAGUGAUACUCAACCGACUCAAAUUGCGGGUGGUUUGGGCGUUCCAAGGUGUAGCGGUGUAGUGGCGACAUUUCCAGGUUUUCUUUGGGAUUUUGGGAAAAGAAUGGCGGUGGUUCUUGGAUGAUUUCCAGCUGCUACAAACAGGUAAGCUUUUGGUAGCCUUUGUUGGCCACUAGGCCUUGUCUCCCAAUCCCCACCGACUAGGAUUUCCCAAGCUAAACAACUUCCUAAUCCGAAACUGUGUUGGCCUUCUUUCCUUGCUUUUCCUCGAUUGUGGCGGGUCAGGUUUAGUUUAGGAAACUAUUUUGAGUGCUUGUGGGGGCUGGUGAGGUCGGUUGAAGGCUGUUAACGUGCUUGGGUGAUUUGGACUUUGGGUAGAUGGGGUUUUUUUUUUUUGGCAGCCUCUAAUCCCAAGAGGACUGGGAUUGGUUAUAGCUCACGGUUGGGACUUGGUUACCACUUGGAAACUUGGCCGCACCUUUCCCCUUUUUUUUUCUCUCGUUUUCUUUUCUGUUUUUUUUUCCUUUCAUUUCUUUUUUUUUUUUCUCUUUGCAGCUCACUAAGGAAUUUUUUUUCCCAAGAAACCGGAUUCAGUCCCACUAUUGAAAUUUCGAAUCAAGGUUCACAACUGGCCAAGAAGGAUUGAAGUUUGUUUUCCAAGACCUAAGGCUUUUCCCAAGAGUUUCCAAAUCUGAUUUUCAAGAAUCCCAAGAAGGCUGAUCAAGAAGUUCAAGAACUCCCCAAAUAUGCUUUUGGCAUUCAAGAUUUGCAAAAUGCAACACAAAUAUUCAAGGAGCAAAUGCAAAACAGGUACGGGACACCCUUGUUUUUGCAAAUACAAGGGUGUCCCGUACAAUUUCAGCAACGAUUCAAAGAGGCAACAAGGUACGGGACACCCUUGUUUUUUUUUUUUUUUGACUUUGGCUAGGUUGUUCCUACGACCAAAAUACACAAUACCCACAAGAAUUCCCCACAAUCUAGGCCACAGCCAGUAGCAAUUAACAACCCAGAAAUCCGGACAGGUUGCGACACACAAACAAGACUACUUGAGAUGCGGCAAUAAGGAAGGAAAACCCUAGUUGCAACAAGAAGAGAAAGAACCCUAGUUGUGGCUAUAUGUUUUUUUUUUUCUUUCUGGUCAAGACACAAGAUACAGCUACCCAACAGAAUUUCGAACACAAAACAGAAUUUAGACACAAAACAC